rnacentral:lncRNA from 1 species
GUGUGUGUGUGGUUGAACUACUGUUCCGCUAUCUGAUGAUUGACAGCAGUGGAAUACGAUCAUUUUGAUGCUCCAAAUGGAAGUAUCAAUUGCAUUUUGCGUCAUGUCCUGUCAGACAUUGUAUUUUCUCUACUAAAUAAAAUUUGCUCUGUUAACAUACGGUUACGGUAAAAGCCUCUUAUUUUUUUAGAAAGACGGUACAAACCCAGACGCUCGGACACGCGCAUACACUCACCCCUAUGAAUGCACGCACGCACACCCACCCCAUGAGCAUGUCCGAGAGACUGAGCCUGCAGUUCUUGAGAGAUUGAUGAAGUCAGCGCAAACGUCUCGCUGUUGGCGGGUACGUCACCUACCACUGAAAGAAAAACGUCGGUUAAAUAUGAGCAUCUAUAUCAAGUCUAUGACUUGAACCUGUGUGGGUUGAUUCCACCAAAGGGAACCACACCACGUGAGCUAAGCUCAGCUCACAAAGCCUCUUAUGUCUGUUUAGUUGCUUUUCAUGUUUCUUGAGAACUUGCGCACAUUUAUAACAAUGGCUCUCAAAUAAACAACAAAAGAACAUUGGAAGACAGGAAACCUCGCAUGUCGAAAAAGAGAUGAGAGAGGCUCCCGUCCCCCCCCCCCAGCGGCGUCUCGCCCGGCGGCGAUGGCGGCCGCCCGCCCACGCCCCACCCCCGCCCCCGACCACUUGCCGCUGCCUAACCCCUGCUCCCCUUCGUGGUCCACGCCGGUCCGCUUCUCUUGUGCCGACGCCUGCGAGGACGAGGAGGAGGGGGAGUUCGUCCCCGACUCACUGCCGCCGACAGGCCCGCUGGAGCUUCCCCUGACUGUCCCCGCUCCCCCCAACCAUGCCCCUGACCGGAUCUACGUUCCACCACACCGGAGGCCUGCACCCGUGUCCCCUGCUGGCUUCAAUUCAGGAUCUCGCCCAGCUGCCGCAUUUACUGUAGAUCUCCCCCCUCCACCGACCGGUUCCCCACCACGCGGCCAGGCUAGACUCUUCAAUGCGGCUGGAGGUGGGUGGACUCUGCCGCCUCCGCCUGCUGGGCAGCCUCCCUGCGGACAGCCCCGUCUUCAAGCCAACGCGCAUUCAACUCCCUCGCAGACGGUUGGUGAGGCUUGGCAGCAGGUCGGGUCACACCGCCGCUCGCGAAAAGACCCGCCUUCACUCCGACGAGAUGGGUCUGCUCGUCGUACGCUCGGCACCGCUCGGCUUAGAGGCCCUCGUAAUGCCAAGGCACAGGAGCGAUUCCUGGAGUUCAAAAGGCGCACUUGGGGCCGUUGCUUUCGCUGCCUAGCUCGCGACCACCGCUCCUCCACUUGCCGUGAGAUCCUCCGCUGCCUCGAGUGCCAUGGGCGCGGCCACGGCGCUCGGGAGUGCCGGCGACCACCUCCUCCUCGCGCUGCUGCUCCUUCUCCACCGCCCCUGCAUCGCACGGUGUUCGGUUCCUGCUCCUGGGCUGCCGUUGUUGCUUCGGCGCCUGCUCCCCAACUGCCGUCGUUGCGCCUCCAACCGCGGGCUCCUCCCCCACCACACCAGGCCAUGGCGCAACAAGGACUUGGGGCGCCGGACACGCGCCCGGAUGAGGACACCUGCAUCAUCCCAUUCUCCUUCAACAUCGACAACAAGUGGGAGACUACGGCGGCCAUCGCCUGGCCUAUCAACGCGCCGCGGCGUCUGGAGGCCAUCAACGUCGACCGUGCCAUCUGUGCCGAGUUCUGUCUCAGCCAUGCCGACGUUGCGUCACCCCACACCACCCUCCACAGUUCCUGGUCAAGUUUGUGCAUAAGGCACACUACGACGAGGUGCUUCAAAAGGGGCGGGUGUCGGCUCGGGGCACUGCCGUCCAGAUUAGGCUCUACCGGCCCCUAGAGCACGCCUUCGUCGCUGCCAUGGCCUUCCGGGUCCAUCUUCGCCUGGAAGAAGGUCCCUGCCUUCGCUUGGACCCCGUGCAUCGUCGAGCACAUCAUCGGUCGUCGCUGCUCCUUCGACCGGCUGGACAGGCAGUCCGUGUUCAUGGAGAAGACGGACACCCUCGACCUCUAGGCUUGGACGGCGAACCCAAGCAAGAUCCCCAAGGUGGUGUCGCUCACGUUUAUGGGCCGCUCCCUGAACGAGCGCGCCUCUGAAAUCCUCGUCACCGACUACAGGCCAUCAGGCGUCAAGCCCGGCACCACCUUCCGUGUCAUCGUCCACCUCGACACGGUCGAAGACUACACCACCGCCCCCCUGGGCUAUGAGCGGCAUGCUGGAACGCCGCCCCUCUUCAAGCCACGAGUCAACACCUUCAAGUGCACCUUGGGACAGAUCGACGAAGUCCCGUCGGCAAACGACGCUGCCAAGGAGACGCGGGACGACGCCGACUCGCGGAACAGGCGCCACAGCAACCGGGGGAACGACCAUCCGCGCCAGGCCCCUCGCCGCCGUGAUGACGAUGAGGAUGAUCAUCGUGGACGUGAAUCUCCCCGCCGCCCCUGGCAUGGAUCGGGGGACAAUCUGCUGAUUGUCCGCCGGGAGCGCACGCGCUCUCCCAAGCGAUGGGACGCUGAGUCCAGUCACCAUGGACGUCGCCGCGACGCCGACGACACUGACGAGCCCAGGGCCUCGGACGCGCUGGGCCGCCAGGCCGCUGACUAGGGGUUGCAGGCCCUCUUCUUUGCGCAGGCCAAGGAGAUCCAAGCGGGUCUGCGGGCCCAUGCCGCCAACAAGGGAAGUGAGGAGCUCCAAGGACUGCUGGACCGUGCUCGCCACUACCUCCUGCGGGCGGAGGCUGCCAUGGCUAGCCUGGGCCUGGCGUCCCAUGCGACUGUGACACGCCCGGGCUCCCCGGCCGCGGCCACGACGAUGCCUGCUCGGCCCACGCUGCCAUCUCCACCAUGCCGGAAUGAAGCCCGGUUCGUCUCCGUCGAGCCUGCGCCUGCCUCUCCGCCGAUCGUGGCCCCGGCCGCGAUGGACCUCUCAGCGGUCUUCGCGGGGAUGGAGUUGGCUACUCGGGCGGCGGCUUCACCGAUGAUGUUGCCUUCCUGCUCGGCGGAGGACGCGCCUCCACAGCAUGACCCCUCCCUCCACUGUGGAUGUGCAGGUUACUGAAGAUACCGUGGAUUGCGUUGCCGAGUCUCCUGUGCAUGUCCCUGACGUUUGUGUGCAGGUUCCUAAUGCCCCCACGGCUCUCAUCGACGGUCGCCCUGUCAGUGGCGUUGUCGAGGACACCGAGGCCGACACGGAGGUGGGCUCGGAGGGGCCGGACGACUGCACCCUCGCAAGCUUCCUUGCCGCCAUCGCCAAGCCGACAGCUGUGCCGAUCCUCCCUUCGCCGACCCCGUCUGCGCCAACCACGAACAGGGAGAUCCCGCCUGCUCCCCCCAGACGCAGCGGAUGCUUGGCUUCCAAGAAGAAGACGAUGUCCUGUUCUGCUGCUGUCGAGGAGCUUCUCGCGCGCGUCUGCGGUCUCAUGGACCCCGAUGCCACCUUCGAUGACAAGAGCCGGGACGCCUACGUGUCGCUAUUCAAGACGCCGCUCUCGGCCCCUGUGAUCCACGCCAUUGAAACCUUGGUCAAGAAGGUGAAUAAGAUUAGAAGCAAGCCGAAGGGAACCAAUCGCAAGGCUGCUGCUUCAAAGAGGCUUCCUAUUGCUGAUGAUUAGUGCCUGCUACCAAAGGUGGUGCGUGCCCGGCCUGUGUGUAUGUCUCUGCAUGUUUGUAUCCCUAGGAUUCCCCAAGCAGAGGGGGUGUCGCUCAUGUUUGUGUGUCGUCGUACUUCAUUAAGCCUCUACUAGUUGUUCACGAUGUUUCCGACUUCGGCCGCUGAGCCGCUGCACUGCGCUACUAUGUUGUUAUGUCGAUUCAUAAUGUUAACCUCCUGUGUUGGAACGUCAGAGGCCUCAACAACCCGGCUCGCCGCUCCGCGGUCCGUGACAUCAUCCGCGACACGCAUGCCACUGUGGUUUGCAUCCAAGAGACGAAACUCCAGCUCGUCGCUGGACGCCUCAUCCGUGACAUUCUCGGUCCCAAAUUCUGCAACAACUUCGCCACUCUUCCUGCCGCAGGGACCCGCGGUGGGAUGAUCAUGGCUGUCUCUGAUGAUUUCUUCGUGCUCUCUGGCAUUCAUUUCACUACUCACUCGAUCACGGCCACCGUCACUAUGCGCAGCGAGGGGAUUCCUUGGUCCUUAACGUUGGUUUAUGGGCCCCAGAGUGAUGCCGAGAAACUCCUUUUCAUCGACGAACUUAGGCUACUGGAGCCGGUGGUGAAGGCGGAAUGGGUUCUUUUGGGCGAUUUCAACAUCAUCACUAAGGCCGCGGAUAAGAACAACACGAACAUCAACCGUCGGCUCAUCGGCAAGUUUCUGGGGCCUCUGAAUUUCCUGCAGCUCAAGGAAAUUAGCCUAGGGGGGCGAUGCUUCACCUGGUCGAAUGAGCAGGAAAACCCGGUGCUCACAAAAAUCGACCACAUCUUCUGCACUGACGAUUGGGAUGUGUUGUUUCCGAACGCUCUCCUCCAGGCGGUGCCAACGUUUUGCUCCGACCAUGCUCCCCUAUUCCUCCAGGGGGAGCCAACCCGAUGGCAUCGCCCGUCUUUCAAAUUCGAACAGUUUUGGCUGCAGAUGCCUGGCUUUCAGGACACGGUGGCAGGUGCGUGGAACAAGCAUGUGGUGGCCCAAGACGCCCUCCGCAGGAUCCACAUAAAGCUCAAUCGCGCGGCUAAGGCUCUUAAGAAGUGGCAGAAGGAGCGUUUUGGUUUUUUGGACUAUCAAUUGGCCAUUAUCAAGGAGGUUAUUUGGCGCAUCGACAUUGCCGAGGAAGAGCGACCGCUUUCGAUGGAGGAAUGGGGGCUGAGACGGCACCUCAAGAACAACUACUUGGGUCAUCUCUCUGUUCAAAAGGUCAAAUUGCGGCAACGCUCCAGUCUUGCUUGGAUCAAGACAGGGGAUGCCAACACCAAACUUUUUCACAUCCGAGUGAAUGAUAGGCGAAGGAAGAACUUCAUUCAGCAUCUCCAAACGCCGUAAGGGAUGGCCAUCACUCAGGCUGACAAAGAAACGGAGCUUCAUUCCCACUUCCAGAACCAUCUUGAUGCGGCGCACGUCAAAAAUGAGACUCUUGACUGGACUGCGCUUGGCUACCAACCGGCUGACCUGUCUGCUCUUGAUGCUGAUUUCUCCGAAUCUGAGAUUAAGGAGGCAAUCUUCGCCAUGCCCUCUGUCAAAGCCCUCGGCCCGGAUGGCUUCAUUGGUGCCUUCUUCAAGUCCUGCUGGGAGACCAUGCAUUAAGAGUGAUGUGGUGGCGGCCAUCCUCCAAAUGGCGGAGCUACGAGGAGACUGCAUGCACCUGCUCAACUCGGCAAACAUUAUUCUCUUGUCAAAGAAGCCAGAUGCCGCUCGGGUUGGCGAUUACCGUCCCAUCAGCUUGAUACACAGCAUGUCCAAAAUUUUCUCCAAGCUGUUGGCUUUGAGACUUGCCCCGGAGCUGGGAUUGUUAGUGUCCAACUGUCAAAGCGCGUUCAUUAAAAAACGGUGCAUCCAUGAUAACUUUCUCUUCAUCCAGAAUUCAAUCAAGGCGCUUCACUCCUCUAACACGCCAAGUCUAUUCCUCAAGCUUGACAUCUCAAAGGCCUUUGAUUCUGUCAACUGGGCUUACAUUCUGGAAGUGCUGAAACAACUUGGCUUUGGCCCACGCUAGCGGAAUUGGAUUUGUAAUUCUUUCGCUUCGUCCUCUUCGCGGGUCCUCCUCAACGGCUUCCCGAGAACCCCCUUCCGGCAUAAGCGGGGUUUGCGCCAAGGGGAUCCCCUCUCCCCCAUGCUCUUCAUUUUAACGAUUGAUCCCCUCCAGAUCAUCCUGCGCCGGGCGGAGGAGUGCGGUGUGCUACAACGGGUCGGGGCCCGGCCGGUACGCUGCAGGAUAUCAUUGUACGCGGAUGACGCUAGCAUCUUCGCCAACCCUUUCAAGCAGAAGCUUGCGACCAUCUCGGCGAUUCUGGAGCACUUCAAAAAUGCGAGUGGCCUCAUCACGAAUGUUUCCAAGUCUGAGGUUUUUCCCAUCAGAUGCGAGGGCAUCGACCUCACGGACAUUCUGGACGACUUUCCAGCUAAAAUCUUGGCCUUUCCCGGCAAAUACCUGGGACUCCCCCUCCACUUCCAUAAGCUGCGCAAGAUUGAUUUCAACCUCUCAUUGAUAAGUUUAGGGGUCGCCUUGGGGGUUGGAAGGGCAAGAACCUCUCCCGCGCCGGCCGGGUCACUCUCGCCAAGUCCGUCCUCACCUCCACGGCCACGUACCAGCGCACCGUGCUUAACCUUCCUAAAUGGGUUAGGGCCACACUCGACAAGAUCACCAGGGGUUUCAUUUGGAAAGGCGAGGAUAGCGACACUGCGGGCGGCGGCCAUGCGCUCGUCAACUGGAAGACGGUUUGCAGGCCAAAGGACCUUGGUGGCCUGGGAAUGGCUGACCUUGAGCGGUUUGGAAGAGCUCUUAGUCUUCGCUGGCCUUGGCUUAGGUGGACGGAGCCAGAUAGGCCUUUGGUUGCUCUUGUCUUCCUUGCGACAACUCCGACAUGGCCCUCUUUCGUGCUCCGACCCGCGUCUCUAUCGGGGAUGGUAAAACGGCUCUGUUCUGGCAUGACAAUUGGAGCGGUGGGGGGCCCUUGUGUUAUCGCGCCCCGGAGCUUUUCAAGAUCGCGUCCAGGAGGAACAGGACUGUUCACAAGGAGCUUCUCCAGGACAACUGGAUUCAUGCAAUCAGUCGGCUUUUGACCGUUGCCCAGCUUCAGGAGUUUGUUGACCUGGCUUCGAUGCUCAGCGACAUCACUCUGGAUCCUCAACGCGCUGACUCCAUCACUUGGAAUUGGACCUCUGACGGUAUCUACUCUUGUUGGUCCACUUACCUUGCCCAGUUCAUUGGCUCCCACUCGAAGUUCUUUGCUUCUAAGAUUUGGAGUGCUCAUAUUGAGCCUAAGUGUAAGAUCUUCUCCUGGCUCCUUCUCCAGAACCGUAUCCUCACCGCCGACAGGCUUGCUAUUCGUGGAUGGCCCCAUGACCCGAUCUGCCAGCUCUGCUUAGGGGCGCCCGAAAACUCUACCCACCUAUGCAAGGACUGCCAAUUCACAAGGAGUGUUUGGCGUCUUGUGGCCGAUUGCACUGGGGAGUCCGCGGCCCCGGUUGACGGGUUCGGUUCCAUCGAUGGCUGGUGGGAGGCCUCGCUCCAGCAUGCGGGCAAGGUUCCGAGGAAAAGAAGAAGCGGCCAUCUCAUCUACGUCUGGUGGAAUGUUUGGAAGGAACGGAACCGACGAAUCUUCAACCAUACGCGCCUUACCUACGUUGAGGUCGCCCAUCUUGCGGUUGAAGAGAUAACCAGCAAAACUUGGCCUUCGGUUUGCCUACCGAUGGCUUUGCCAUUGAACCAGAUUAGAGUUUGUUCUUUUGAUUGUGGGUUUGGCAUGCUACCCUCUUAAAAAAUUGCCCCCUUUAAAUAUUCAUCUAUUUCUUCUUAACGAAAAGGUAGCGCUCCUGUCCGUUCCUAAAAAGAAAAGAACAUUGUGGAAUGAUCAAAGUAGAUCCUGCAGCAUGCUAUCCCUACUGCUACAAGAAAAAAGUAUCUCGUUGGCAGCUGGCACAGUUUCUAUUUUCUACUACUUACAUGCAUGGGCUCGCCAAGUUAAUGUAUAAUUAAUCUUGGCUUAAGGGGAGAGCACACCAUGCACACUGAUAUGCCAGAGAGAUGAAUUGAAUUAAUCAGGCGGUCCUCUCCAUCAUCUCGCAGAACCUCUUGAAUGACUCGAGCUUCUGCAGCUUGAGCUGCUUGUGGAUCCGGCGGAUGAAGACGUCGGCGACGUGGUCGAUCUCGUCUUCCAGCUUGAAUUCGGCUCCAUCUCCGUCCUUCUCCUUGGCGUCGCGCACCACGUCGAUCACCGACCCCGGCGCGUUCACCAGCUCGUCGUCGUCCUCCUCCUCCUCCUGGAACAGCGAGUGCGUCAGGUAGUCGUCGUUGUCUUCUUCUUCCUCCUCCUCCUCAGCGUCGCGCUCCGUCGUCGCGUAGCUCGGCGAGUUGUAGAGCACGAUGGCCUUCUUGCUGCUGCCGCCGUCGUCGUGGUGGUGAUCUUCAUGUUGAUUGUUGUUGUUGGCGUCCUGGCCCAUGAGGGCGUGGAUCUUGUGGUUGAUGGCGCUGACGAGGAGCUUCUUGUUCCGGAGGAUUCCGAGCACCAGGAGGCGCGUCUUGAAGGCGCUCGUCUUGGCGCGCACCGCCGUCGACUUGGACUUUACCACGGCCACGAUGGUCGACAGCAUGUGCUUCAAGAACGUAGACGCCUUGCUCUUCAUCUUUAUAAACUCAGCAGUAGUAAGCUACUAAGCUGACUGUGGGUUAAGGGAGAGAUUGACGUGUGAAUCUAUAUAGCUUGAUGAUUUGUGUUGAUCUCACAGUACUGUGUGCACUGGAUGCUUGGACAUGGAGUUCUGCCUGUGGGAUGCCAUGGGUAUAUAUAGCACAUCAUCUGGCCGGCCGGGGUGGGGAUGAUGAGCACCGCAAAGCUCAAGUGUACGUCCUAGAAGUUUCAGCAUCACACUAGAAAGCAGGUACUAUUCCACUAAGCUAAGCGAAGUAACGGGCAUCAGGAAAUAAAGGAAUUUCAUUAGUGGGUGUGUACAUGUGUACAAAAGGCUGCAUGUGCCAAAAGCAAAAGUAACCAAAGAUGAUGGGCCGGGGCCGGUAUGCAUGCAUGCAUGCAAAAGUAGCUCGACCGAGAGAGCUAGUAAAAGUUGAUUGAUCGAUGCCGUGGGUGUGUCUGGACGUGUUGUGAUGUUACGGCCGGCCGGUCCGCCCAGUAUAUGAUCCCAAUCACCAAUUAUGGGGUUGAUGUGAUUAACUAAUAAGGCAGGCAGCCGCCCGGCCGGCUCAUCGUGCGCAACGGUUAUCAAAAAUGUUUUUGGCAAGCCUUGGGUAACUCUUUCCGUUCAAAGAAAAAGGCUUGCUUUCUUUUAUAUUCCAUCCGUCCAACAAAGAUGUCUCUAAAUUUGAAUGCAUCUAUACACUAAAUCAUGUCUACAUACAUCUAAAUUUUGACAAACUUGAGAUAUUUUUUGUUAAACCGAAGGAGUACUAGUUUUUUCUUGUUUGUGUAAGCAAUUUCAUGGUGAGGUGUACAUGCAUAUGUGUACUACUACGCAAAGCUGUCUGGGGCUUUUCUGUAGUGCGCUCAUUGUGAGCAUGCUCAAGUUGUAGGCUCGCAGCUUAGCUAAACUAGUUUACCAUAUGAACCCAGCAUGCAUUAUUCAUUGCUUUCGGGCGCUAGCUAGCUAAUUGACAAGAUGCAGUCGCAUUACGACCGUAAGAUCCAAAAUGUGUGGUGUACGUGCAUGCGUGCCAUGCCCCACUGAACAUCGAUCCAUCGCGGGAGCAGUAGUUGCUUCGGGAACGGCAAGUGCCCACGAGCCUUUUUCUGAACAAACACAAGUAGUCCAGCUUCUGUAACGUGGGUCUUUGCUAGUCGGCGCUGAUGAGUGAUCGAUGCUGCCUGUGGGAAUCCUUCGCCGCUAAGGUUCCUAGUUUUCCAUGGUCCGAAAAGCAGAGUCUCUCCGAGCUGUCGAUCGAAUCGAAUCGGCCGCCCGCGUGCGGACCACCGCGCUAGCUAGCAAAGAGCGUCAAUCCGCUUGGCGUUUUCCACUCGAUCGAUCUACUGCAAGUGGCAGGGAUCUAUGAGCACGAACAGUCUGAGCAGCAACAGAUGAUUUAAAAUACACUGACUAGGCGGCACACUGGAAAUACCUACGGUUUUUGCCAUAUCUAGGUUGACUAGGGACGAGUAGAUUCCUCUGGAUAUGGUUUAUGUUUUCAGAUUAGAGCGAUGGAAAAAAAGAGUGAAACCGUGUUCAGAUAUUAAUCUGCUGGUUUUGCUUAAAAAUCGAGCGGCUGAUAUAUUGUCACACCCAAAAAUGGUGGCGGAGGUUAAGAUCAGGGUUUAUGAUGGGCUACUAUUGUUACUCAAAAGUACCUUCUGCAUAACUCUAUUGCUUCCAUGACUGUGAAAGCUGUAAUUGUCCGACUCCGCUUGCUGGAAAGAUCUGAUGAAAGUCAUGUAUAUCUUAAUGGCAGAUCCUUUUGUGAUUCAAUCUGGAGAAACCGUAAGAUUCUGAGAAGAUUCAUGGUAUGAGGAUAAUUGUUUGUAUUCUGUUCCGUUCAAAAAGAAAAUUCAUGUUAUGUUUACCCUCAGCUUUACUUGUUCUGUGAGAAUCACGAUGUCUUUGUGGCUUAUGUGAAAAAUCAUUUUGACCAAAUUGUCUUCUCUAGAUGGUUGCAAGGAACCGGGGGGAAGAGUGGGAGGGAUUGAGAUCGAUGUAUUAUGAUGAAAUCCAAUUGUCUGAAUCCCCUGAUGUACCUGUGUGGAAGUGGGAAUCAAAGAAAAUCUUCCGUGCCAGAUCCUUAAUUAUUAAGCAUCCUUGUUCUCCUAUUAGUGGUGCAGACUAUACUUGCAUUUGCAAAUCUAAGCUACCUCUCAAGAUUAGAAUUUUCCUGUGGCAAUUGUUUCUGAAUGCUGUUCAGACCAAAAAAAAAAGUGAUCCAGCGGUGUUGGCCGGGCAGUCCUAAAUGUUAUUUCUACCAUGAUGAGACUCUUCAAUAUUUAUUCUUUGAUUGUACCGUAGCCAAGGUGGUUUACGGUUGUGUGGGAUUUUUUCUAUGUACUGAUUUGAUACAUAGGUCUCUUUGGCAAUAUUUUGUGUGGGUGGGUAAGAUUUUGCCAAAUGAUCGGAAUAUGUUUGUGUGAGUCUCGGUGAUGUUUGCUAGGCCAUUUGGACAACGAAUAAUGCAGUUUGCUUUGAGAAGAAAAUAAUCGACUCUUGUUGUGUUCUCUUUUUGGGUAUUGGGCAGGUCUGCGGAAGCGAUGAAGGAUGAGGCCACUAGGGUCAUGCAAUAUAUCCACGGUGAAUCUGCUCCAAAGAGCUCGAAAAUCUCGCCCACGUGGGGCGGCUGAUCAUGCACUACACAUGAUAUAGAGUCGUCGCCUUAUAUCCUGAUGAACUUUAGCCUAGUUUGAUCUGUAAUCGCCUGGUAUUGGCCGGAAAUAUUUAUCUUCUUGUCUUUCUGAGAACUCUUUUAGGAUAGUUUGCUGUGGUUUUUGUCCGAUAGUAGAUGGACCGAGAUGGCUCAAUUACAAUGAGUUUUCUUCUAGCUUUUGAUUCGAUUCUGCUAUUCCUCAUCCACUAUUUCUCCUUUUCGAUAAAGGGAGCUUUUAUUGAAAUAUUUGUCCUUCUGAUGUAAGACAUACUAUAUUGUAUUUCUGUUAUGUUUGAAUGGAAUGGAAUUGAUUUUUAAUAUAUAAUGUUCCAUAGUACGUAUUCUGAAGGAGUGUUGGAUCGUGAUGUUCUGAAAUUUGAAAGAAUGGCACGCAAGAUUGGUUAAGUGCGAAAUUGUCCAGUGCAUUUUUUUUCCAGAACACAAAGUAUUCUUUAUCGGAUCAUACAUGCCAACCUUUUAUCUCUAACGUGUGGUAAUUAUCACAAGAGUGUAGCUAUGUUAACUUGAUGUUUUUCUCCAAUCUUUAGGUCAUGGAUUCUCCUGAAUAUUUGUCUGUCAGAUCUCACUUUGGAGGUCAGUUUGUGAAUAAUGGGAGAGAGAUGCAUUAUGUAGGAGAGAAAUUUGGCAUGUCUAGGAGUAAGAAGCUUCAAAGCCGCAACUAGAUGGUUUUCGGUCCGGUUUUCCUUAUGAACGGGACCAUUUCUCUUCUUCUUAAUGAAAUGCAGGAAUCCCUGUCGCAACUAGGAGGAGGAGAAUAGGAAACAGUUGACACAUAUCUGAUGGAAAGUCGCGUACCAGUCUAGCAUGUUGGUUCUUUUUUCUACAAAUCGGUGAGUUGACAAAAUGUCCAUGCAAUUGAUUGUCAAGUCAGUUUUGGUUAUCAGGAGAGACAACCUCAAAACAGCCUCCAACUUAGCUUAAAUUGGAUAUGAGGGUAAUUUGUUUGGCUUUAAAGAGCUUACUUCUUGUUUGGCACAUGUGGAUUUUAUGGGAUUUUUAGGAAAUUUUGAGAAUUAUAGUUCAUUUUCUAAUGAGAAUCUCUAGAAUUCCUAAACAUCCACCGGUAGCAAAUUGCCAAACAAGCCCUUGGUGAGUGAAAUACCCGGUUUGGUCAGGAGUUGAUUAAAAUAAAAGUAGCAGGUUUACAAUUAUUUGGAUUAAUUUAACCCUAUAGAUAAACAACGAUACCUCCUUAAUUAGGAUCGAGCAUGCCUGAGUUCCAUAUGAAAAAUUGCAUUGUGGGUCCCCUGCCAUGACCUCAAUUCCAUCGGCCCGACGUACUGCCCUGAGGUGAAGUCAUGGGCAUGCAUGUGGGUCCAUAGAUUGAGGGCCCACGUGCCGGUGACCCCACCUCAGGGGCAGUUCGUGAGAGAAUCCCUACCGCAUUAAGCUAACCUGACGCUGCUUGAGAUUUUCCGCAUUUUAAAGGACGGUCAAUUCCGUCAUUCGAUUAAAAGAGAGAAACUGUACAAAGGGGGAUCAAAAAUGAUCUCCGAAAUAGAAAAGGAGGGGGGGGGGGCAAAAAUAUCGAAAAAGCCAGAGGGAAGGCCUAGCCUCCCGGAUCGUCAUUACAUGCCCGGAUCUUAUUCUGGUAUUCUUCCCAAAUCAAAUGGGCCACCUGAAGGGCGUUCAUCGCCGACCCUCUGAAGAUCCUUCUGUUGCGCUCCUUCCAUAAGCACCACCAUAUGUAGAUGAGGCGUCCUCCGAGCUUCCUCUGAGCCUUCUUAGGAAGACCCGAAGAGAGCCCAUCCCAGAGCUCAUUGAUGGAGCUAGGGGUGGCCAGGAUGGGGGGGUGAUCCGGACACCAUCUCUAAAUGUGGCCCCAUACCUCCCUAGAAAAGGAGCAGUCGCGGCAUAGGUGUGAGAUCGUCUCCGGUUGGGUUCUACAGAGUUGACAAAUCGGAUUGUGCGUCCAUUGUCGAAUCGCCAUAUUGUCCGCGGUGAGGAUUUUCCCAUGCAAAGCCGUCUAGGCGAAGAAUUUGCACUUUGUGAGCACGCCAAACCUUUCUGGAGGAGAAGGCGGGGAAGGAGCCGAAGAAUUGAGCCUUGUAGGAGGAAGCCGCCGAGUAAUAACCGGACGUUGUCCAUCUCCAAAAGAUGGAGAUUUUCCGCAUGCCUCUCCUUCCUUCCGGCUUAUAUCCUCCAGCUCCUCGCUACAUGGUUCGGCGACGCCCCUCCUCUCCAUCGCUGCAGUUAGAUCCGGCCACCAAAAGAAAAUCUUGUUGUCUCAGAGCAAGAUCUUGUCGCCUUGGCUAUUCUCCAUUGCACUGGCCAGCAGCAAGUGUCGCCGCUGCCGGUCAUCACCCCAAGUCCUCUCCACCGCCGGUCACCAUCUUUGCAAGCCGCCACCCUGAGUCCUCUCCAUUGCAAGGUCCUGUGGCCCGGAGUCCUCUCAUUUUUCAUAAGAGGUACUACAUCCGUUCCAUAAUUCUUGUCGAAAUAUUACAUGUAUCUCGACGCUUUUUAGGAAUAAGUACAUCCAUUUUUGGGCAAAUUUGAGACAAGAAUUAUGAAACGGAGGGAGUAGUUUAUUGUUGGGUUUUUUACUUAUGUGCCCUCGGUUCCUUAGUUCUACUCAGUUUUGCCCAGGCCUUAGAACACUGCUCGCUUCUACCCUCCUCCUUUGCGCAAAUGCUCGCUUUUACCAUCACGGAGCACCUCCUCACAGUCAACUCGGUCACGCCGUUAGCUGCUGACGGGUGGGACCGGGUAUAAGCCUGAUGGCUGGGACCAAUGCGCGCUGCUGACUGUGCGCCGGGCUGGGCUUUGGCAAGCUUGACUCUGGCCACCGCGACGACGGCCGCUGCGGCGUGGGGAUCGGUGCGAGCACGAGGACAAGGACCGGGAUGGGGACAUGGACGCAAGGAUACGCCGCUAGGAUGUUCUCGGUCGACACGACGGACGCUAGGAUGCGCCGCUGUCGCGCGCUCACGCCACGGACACAUCACAACACAGCCAUCGAAGAAAGAACCUAGUUCAUAUAUUCCAACAAGGACUUACAUUAACGACAUUAAUUUUGAAAAAAAAAAUGCUGAUCGAUCGUUCAUUCCUCGGCUUCGUCUUCAGAUUCCUCCACAGGCGGCGCAGGCCCCUCGACAGCCACCACAGGCGCCUCCGCCUCCUCCAUGUACGGGAGGCCGUGCAUCUCGCUGGCAUGGGGGAACGUGGUCGUAGUGUUGGUGUACACGUUGUACAGCGUGAAUGCGAUGAACUCGCAUCCACACCAGUACACGCGGCCAAGGAGGUAAUCAGCGUCAUGGCUGUUGGUGAGGUGCACCAAGAGGGCGGUUUUGACGCCGUGCUCGCGGAGCCUCUCCAGGAGGUACAUUGGAGGGCCACCGGCCUCCAGGUGUCUGAAGCCGGUGUUGUGGAAGUUCCUGGCCAGCGCCAUCGAGCUCCGGCUGCGCGACAUUGCCCACACCUAGAGCGUCCGCUCCACACGCACGCCAGGUGGGAACAACGCCUCAUCAGUGAGGGGUGGCGGGUUGAAGGUGAGGCCUGCGAACGCCAUUGCUUGUCGUCGGUGGGGGCGUUGGGCGGCGGGUUGAAGAAGCGGAGUGGAGAGCUGUGUAGAAGGAGAAGAAUGAGAGCUGUGUAGAAGAAGCAGAGCCAUGGCGCCGGCUUAAAUAGCGAUGGUGACAGGGGAAGGGGAGAGGUUUUCCGGCGAUCGGUGGGCUUUGAAUGCGGUCGCCGGCGCAGUUUGAAAUGCAUGGGAAACUGGCGUACGUGGGAAGUUGAAGGGAACUGGCGUCAAUAGCAGGCGUGCGCGGCGGCGCGGCCCAGUGAGAGUGAUCCCAGCUCGUUUCCCACUCACUCUCAAUAACUAUGAGAUUGUCUCGUCGGUUUCAUCUCCCCACUACUCUCUCGGUCCCGUCGGCUUUCUCUCCCCAUUACUACUUAUGUGCGUGCCUAGUAAACCGAUUCUCUCGUCUCCUCUGAUCUCAUCUACAUUCUUCCUCUCGCUCUCUCUCGAGCUCUACCGCUUCUCUCCACCAUGGCCAAGGACAAGGAGCUAGUAGACGGUACCGAGAGCUCGGGCGGCGGCGGCCAUGGGUGUGAGCUGGUCACCACUCCGCUGUCUGCCACCCGCCUACAUGCGCCGGCGGCAUAGUCCCAUGCAUUGAGCAUGGACGCCGCCGCUCGUUACAGCCGCUCGUCGCCGCCAAAGCGUGCUCGCAUCGAUGUGGACGUCCCGUGCUCGUCCUGCGGCUGACUCCCCCUCAACGACGACGACGACGACGACGAUGACAAGGACAAGGAGGAGGCCGAGUGCGAGAUCAAUCGGCGCCACGCCGAGCUCCUGCACACGUACCAGCAACGUGUGCGGGAAGCUGGCCGGUGGCACAUGGCUGCCACGAAGGUGGCUUCCGUGGCGGAAGAUUUCGCCAAUGAGUGCGGCCGGGAGGCGGCGGAGGCGAGGGAGCGGUACGAGUUUGAGCUCGUGACGCUAAACUCGGAGAGGAGCAACCUUCUCGAGGAGCGGGGAGGAAGAACGUUCGGGAAAUCCGGGCGGAGCGUGACACCAUCUUCGGCCUCAACAACGGCGACGGCGACGACGCUGCAUAGUGUUAUCCGUUAUUUAUCUCUAGCUGCAUAUGUAUAUGUUGCUACGUAUCUCUAUUUUUAUUCCUAUUUUAUAAUCGAUCUUGCGCAGCCAUCGAUCUCUCUAUAUAUAUGGAAUGUUAUCCAUUUUUCUCUUAUAUGUAUGGGUAUGGUAAUAGUAUAAGGUUGUAGUAUUUAGAAUGAAACAACGUUGGUAAAGUAAGGCCGGUCACAAAUUGAUUUUGGUCUGAAUUUUUUUUUUCAAUUGGCAGAAUAGGCAAAAACAGUAGUUUAGGUGCAAAAAGAAUUCAAAUGCGUUUGGACCCGGUGCAUUCCAAGUUUUUUGGUAUGCCAUGGCAAAAUCAUGACUUUGUUAUAUUGGUUCCACAUCGAUUUGUGCGAAAUUUCAUUGAAUUCUGAAUUAUGAGCCGAAAAGGCUGGAAAUUCAAAGAAUACACGAAAUAUCGUUCCUGAAGUCCAGAAAAUCUGAAACUUGUACAGAACAUCAAGGAUGAACACUAAACGCUUUGAAAAUCUUCUUGGAAAAAAAUUGUGAAUCUAAGUGCUGAUUGAGGUAACAGUUCCCCAGAUUUGUUUGAAUUUGAAAUUCAAAAAAUAGGUAAACAAUUCAGAUUUGAACAAGCUUUGAUAUAAUGACAAUUAAUAAGCAUAUGUGACUAGUGUGCAAAGUUUGAGUUCACUUGGAGAAAGUUUUGUGAUUCAAUUCCAAAAUUUACAUCAAACUUCCAACAUCUCCUUUAGAGAUUCUAAAACAUCCCAGAGAGAUGUGCUACUUUGAACAUCAUGCAUGUGAUCACAAAUUGAUUUUGGUCUGAAUUUUUUGGAUGACAGGUAUUGACAAAUAAAGAGCCGAUGCAAGUUUUCAGAUUUCUCCGGAUAAAAUUUCCUAUUAUUAUAUAUUUUUUCCAAUUGGCAGAAUAGGCAAAAACAGUAGUUUAGGUGCAAAAAGGAUUCAAAUGCGUUUGGACCUAGUGCAUUCGAAGUUUUUUGGAAUGCCAUGGCACAACCAUGACUUUGUUAUAUUGGUUCCACAUCGAUUUGUGCGAAGUUUCAUUGAAUUUUGAAUUAUGAGCCAAAAAGGCUGGAAAUUCAAAGAAUGCACGAAAUAUCGUUCCUGAACUCCAGAAAAUCUGAAAUUUGGAGAGAACAUCAAGGAUGAACACUAAACGCUUUGAAAAUCUUCUGGGAUGAAACUUGUGAAUCUAAGCGGUGACUGAGGUAACAGUUCCCCUAGAUUUGUUUUAAUCUGAAAUUCAAAAAAUAGGUAAACAAUUCAGAUUUGAACAAGAUUUGAGAUAAUGACAUUAAUAGGCAUAUGUGACUACUGUGCAAAGUUUGAGUUCAUUUGGAGAAAAUUUUGUGAUUCAAUUCCAAAAUUUACAUUAAAUUGGCCAACUAGUGGGUCUGGUCAACAAAAGUCAACUUUCUCAAAACAAUUUGAAAUUUCGUCAUCUUGCAUAAUUUUCCAUUCGGAUUGCAUCUGUGCUAUCAAAGAUCAAUUUUGAGGAAGUUCAAUUUCCAAGCUUCCUACAAAUUGUCCAUUCCAGUGGGCUCAAAGGGCAAAAAGUGGCUCUUUCUUCCCCCCGGUGAACAAAAGCUGCUCAUAUUCAUGGCCGCUCUUGCCAUCCAUCGCGACACCGUCGCUUCUCAACUUGGCGCUAAACCUUGCCGCCACGACCUCGUAGACAUGCUGAAGCUGUAUCCGCAAGCCGCGCAUCCUCUCGUGCUCUAUUCUGGCCGGAACGCGAACGGUGUUCGUGCCGUCCAGAUCACGCUCGCGUGCCGCUGCUUUGCGCCGUCAUGGCCAGCGUCCUCCACGAGCCUCGCCACCUUGCCCAAGAGACCCGCAUCGGUUCGAGAAUCCUUUCUGCAGAAGUAAUCGACCCGAGGUGCCUCCAAUCGCUGCGUCACCAUCUUCUUCCUCAGCUCUUACUGGUUGCUGCCGCUGAGCAGAUCUCCUUCUCCGGCGACCUCCGGACUCGACCGCCGCCUCCCUCAGCUCCACCUGAUCACUCUGAACCUUCCGGUGAUUCUCAUUGAGCCUCACGUGGUCCGAGUCAUCCCCGCGUCGCUGCUCCUCUCUGCCUGCCACCCGCCGGCGUCGAGGUUCUCGCGCAGUGCUCCUCCACCCCUUCCAAUGCCUCCGUCAAAUUUGUGAUGACCUACUCAUUCUUUUGCCCCUCUUUCCUGCCUCUCCCGUGUUCUGUAUCGCCCCUCCUCCUAGCGGAGCCCUCCGCCAUCGCAAACCGCACGGCCUUGCGACCAACAAGAUUUCAGCAAUGAGAAGCUCCAGCGCCACCUCAGGGUGAAGCGGCCUUGCGCCUACUAGACACCCCACCCCCUGUCUGGCCCGUGUCGCGCAGGGGAACAACUCCGGCGACGGCAAAGCGUCGGCGAGGCAGUGGCCAGAAGCCGCCUGAUUUUUCCUUCCGACGGUGGACCCACAUGCAAAUUAAUCAUUUCUUUUACAUUCAAAGGGAUCAUUUUCCUGUUGCUUCAACCCCACAUGUCAGUAGCUAGAUUGGCCCCACUCGGCAGGAUUUAACUUGGCCUCACCCGUCAGGAGGUAACGGUCAAAGGACUUGAACGUUAACAAGUCCGCCGUGAGAACAUUUGCGAGCAUUUGCCAAAGAACGAAGUGUAUAAGCGAUCAACGUUUUAAACAUCAAGCAAAACUGAGUACAAACGGAAAUAGAAAACCUUUAUUGUUUGAUAGGCAGACGGCUGAAUUUUGAUCGGACAGCUGUGUGUACGCCGACCGGUGUCCAAUAGACCCAUUGCUGUUGCCAUAUUGCGUUCGAGUCCGAUCCUGUCGCAAACCCGACCCGAUCUGUCCAGUAGUGCCCGACCGACCGCUGCUCCUCCUCUUCGGCCGGCCGGCGGGGAGUUCGAUCCCGCCUGCGCUGACCUGCGGCCCGCUCCCCAUCUGCCUGUCCUUGGCCCAGCAUGUACCAGUGGCGCAAGUUCGAGUUCUUCGAGGAGAAGGCAGCCAGCCGCGGCGGGGGAGGCGGUGCCCCGGCCGUGCCGGCCGAGAUCGCGGGCCGCGUCACCUGCUGCUCGGGCGGCCGCGGCCGCGUCGCCGUUGGCUGCGAUGACGGAACCGUGGGGCUCCUCGACCGCGGGUUCCGCCUCUCCUACGGGUUCCAGGCCUACGCCUCCUCCGUCCUCUUCCUCCAGCAGCUCAAGGUACACCCGAAAACGCAUCUGCCGCUGGGGAAUUCGUUGAUAGAUUUGUAACUUGGUGUUGCCUAAAACUUGAUCUGUCUAGCCAGGGACAAAGUAAACAAUCACAUGCUUGUUCUUAGUUGAAAUGAACUGCUAAUUAUGGUCUAGUGGACAGAUAGUUCAUCCAUCCCCGAUGUGAUGGUCCUCGCGCAGCUCUGAACAAUGCGAGAAACUUGGCAGUAAACUUGCUCCAAAGUUCUUUUAUUGAUUUCGUCAAGGUUUCAGAGUUCAGAACAUAUCUUCUUUUUUCAUUGGAAAAAAUGAAGUUCAAUUCAAUUGGGUUGCCAAUAGCUGAUAUAAUUGAUUAAUUGAAAAUUGGCUGCCUCCUUAUUGACAAAAUGGUGCUUGCUUGUCACUAAUUUCUUCCCUGUACUACCUCAAACCUCAAUAUAUCUUACUGUUCCUACUGCAUUUUCUCUAUUUUUCUUACUCUUCUAUUUUUUUUAUCAUGAUAAUAGCAGCUGAAAGUGGUAUUUACACCUUACUGCCUUUGUAUGAUCAGCAAAGAAAUGUUCUUGUCACGGUUGGAGAUGAUGAUCAAGCAUCUUCGCAGUCAUCGGCAAUCUGUCUAAAGGUUUUCGAUCUUGAUAAAGUACAAGAAGAGGGUUCAAGUACAACAACUCCUUUCUGUGUUCAAAUUUUGCGUAUCUUCACGAAUCAGUUUCCUCAGGCAAAGGUAAAAUUUUCCUGUCACCCCCCUUGCAGGUUACAUUAUAUGUUCUCCUGCUAAGAAAACUUCAACAUAUGGUGCAUACUAUAACAUCCUAUUCUACUUGGCAUAUUUAUUCAUUUUUGCAGAUUACAUCAUUUUUGGUUCUGGAAGAAGCCCCUCCCAUUCUGUUGAUUGCCAUCGGAUUGGAUAAUGGUUCCAUUUAUUGCAUCAAAGGUGACAUUGCACGUGAGCGUAUCACACGCUUCACGUUGCAAGUAGAGGCGGUUUCAGAUGGCUCAAGUUCACCUAUUACUGGUCUUGGUUUCCGAGUUGAGGGGCCAGCACAUCAGCUCUUUGCCAUAACUCCUAGUUCCAUAACCUUGUUCGGCUUGCAUUAUCAACCACCGAGGAGGCAAACACUUGAUCAGAUUGGUUGUGAGACCAAUGCUGUUGCAAUGAGUGACCGCAUGGUUAGUAUGUCAUCUUUUGUGUUUGUGCACAUUCAUCUAUUAUGUGUGCUUCAGGACCUAUUUGGUAGUUGUCCCGACUUAGUAGUUUGCCACUAGACAGCAGCAUACCAGAAAUAACAUGGGAAGUUUGGUUAGUCCAACAUCAGUCUUAAUUUUCUGCAAAAAAGUUUUUACAGUUGUACAAACUGUAUUAUUUUUAUUUGCCCUAAAUAGUGUGACCUACCCUCAUUCUCUGUGGGUUAUGGCUGUGGCGAGACACCUUCGUGAGGUAAUACAUGGGAAUCAAAGAAAUCAGCCCUCUUGAUACAGUAUGGUUGUUCUGCAGAGCUGCUAGUCUGCUACUAUACAAACUCUAUCAGAUCUACACCCUGAUAACUGAAGCUAACCAAGUGCACAGAAAGAAGGUGUUCUACAAAAUUUAGGAACAUUUAGCUAGUCUUUUUAACUGGCAGCCAGUCAGACAAUUUAUUACAUUUGCAGGUGUUUUUAUUGUACAUUUACUGUUAGGAUUUAUCUUGCUUGAAAGAAAAACUUAUUUGUGUUCAUUUCAAUCUCAGGAUCUGAUUGUUGGUAGACCCGAAGCUGUGUAUUUUUAUGAAGUUGAUGGUAGAGGUCCUUGUUGGGCUUUUGACGGUGAGAAGAAAUUUGUAGGUUGGUUUCGGGGCUAUUUACUUUGUAUUAUCGAAGAUCAAAGAAGCCGGAAGAAUACUCUUAAUGUUUAUGAUCUUAAGAAUCGGCUAAUUGCUCAUAGCAUGCCUGUUGGGGAUGUUUCACAUUUGGUCACUGAGUGGGGCUAUAUUAUUCUCAUAAUGAGUGAUAAAAGGAUACUUUGCAUUGGAGAGAAAGACAUGGAAAGUAAGCUGGAUAUGUUAUUCAAGAAAAAUCUUUAUACAGUUGCAAUCAAUCUUGUACAAAGUCAGCAAGCUGAUCCUGCUUCAACUGCUGAGGUUCUACGGAAGUAUGGUGACCAUCUGUAUGGCAAACAAGAAUAUGAUGAGGCCAUGUCUCAAUAUAUCCACACCAUUGGUCACCUUGAACCGUCGUUUGUUAUACAGAAGUUCCUUGAUGCAAAGCGCAUCUACAACCUGACAAAUUAUCUAGAGAAGUUACAUGAUAGAGGAUUAGCGUCGAAAGACCACACCACCCUUUUGUUGAAUUGCUAUACCAAAUUGAAAGAUGUCGAGAAGCUGAACCAUUUCAUCAAAGAUGAAGAUGGGGUAGGUGAAAUCAAGUUUGAUGUGGAAACUGCCAUAAGAGUAUGUCGCGCAGCUGGAUAUCAUGAACAUGCUAUGUUUGUGGCCAGAAAGGCUGGGAGGCAUGAGUUGUAUUUGAAGAUUUUACUUGAGGAUCUUGCUAGAUAUGAUGAGGCGCUGCAGUAUAUAUCUGGCCUUGAGGCAAAUCAAGCAGGUCUUACUGUAAAAGAAUAUGGAAAAAUUCUUGUGGAUCAUAGACCUUCUGAAACAGUUGAAAUACUGUUGAGGCUUUGUACUGAUGGUGGAGAUCCUACUACCAGGAGAGGUUCAAAUAGCAUGCGCUUGCUUAUGAUACCUUCGCCAAUGGACUUCGUAAACAUUUUUGUGCACAGCCCACAGUAUCUCAUGGAAUUUCUAGAAAACUAUAUCAAAGCAGUCAAGGAUUCACCUGCUCAAAUGGAAAUUCAUAACACCCUUCUGGAGCUCUAUAUAUCAAAAGAUUUAAGCUUCCCAUCUAUCUCACAAGAAAAUGGCUUUGAGGAUACUAUUAAAGAAAGAAAAGGGAAAGAAGUUGCAAAUGGCUAUAGAUCAGGCACAACGGAGAAGGGGAACCUUGGAAACGCAGGUACUAAAAUGGCAAAGGAUAUUGCUGAUAGGCAAAGGAAAGGGCUUGCAUUACUCAAGUCUGCCUGGACAUCUGAGAUGGAGGAUGCUUUGUAUUCUGUUGAUCUUGCUCUUAUUAUUUGUAAUGCAAAUGCAUUCAAAGAUGGAUUGUUGUUUCUGUACGAGAAGCUAAAACUCUACAAAGAAGUUAUCAGUUGCUACAAGCAAGCUCAUGAUCAUGAAGGUUUAAUUGCAUGCUGUAAGAAGCUCGGUGACUCAUCUCAAGGAGGGGAUCCAUCUCUAUGGGGUGAUCUGUUGAAGCAUUUCGGGGAGCUCGGGGAAGAUUGCUCUAAGGAAGUUAAAGAGAUCUUGACCUACAUUGAGAAGGAGGAUGUUUUGCCUCCAAUUGUUGUGCUACAGACACUGUCAAAAAACCCAUGUUUGACGCUCUCAGUUGUCAAGGAUUACAUUGCUCGUAAACUUGAGCAAGAAUCAAAGCUCAUUGAAGAUGAUAGAAAAUCUAUUGACAAGUACCAGGUUAGUAAUUUUAUUGCAGUGUCUUCUGCAUCUUUUUCAUCUAUUGUUUUACUAAGUACCUUUUACAAUAUUGAGGCAAUUGAAUUAGUGUAGCUUGGUUUGAUGCAAAUAUAUGAAAGCAUCCUCUAGCUAUAUGGUGUUAUAUGUGAUGCAAGAUAGGUUCAAGUCUAGAUACUUUUGGAUAGUCGGUUGUUUGGCUGUUUGUUUAACAACUUUUUUGAAGCAGUGAAUCAGAUUAUAUCACUUGCCUACCUUAAGUCUUGUUUUUUUGUAGUAUUGUACUCUUUAUUAUUGAUAUACUGAAAUUUAUAGUUGGGCAUACCAUCGCAUGCAGCAGCUCUUGCCAGCUGCCUUCCAUUCAGUGAAGAUAUCUACAUAUAGAACUAAAAGGCAAAACCCACGAUUAAAUAGAAAUCAAGUUUCCUUUCCUAAUAGAAGUGUCCUACUUUACUGAUCUUCCAGAAUUGACAUGUGCAUACCAUGCUCCAUGUGAAUCAUUAAACCACUUUGAGACAUAAUAUUCUUUUCAUUCAAUACAAUUAUCAUGUGGAACACAUAAUUAGAGAGGUUAAUACUGGUAACUGUUUUUGUUUACUUUGGGAGUGUAAAUGUAAGGUUCUUUGCUUCUACGCUAGCAAUUAAAUGAUUAAAGUUGGCACCCGGCAGUUAUCGAAAGUUCUAUCUUUCAGACAUCAAACAUGUUUGACAGAAUCAUGCACUUUUGAUUAACUAAAUUUGAACAUAAUAAAACCGUGCAACUUUCUAACUCUUAUGUAAAGGGAAGGAUUGCUAUAAAAUAUUUCUCUGAGGUCGCAAGAUCAGAGACCCUAUAUUUGAAACUUUAGAUAGAGUUACUCUAACACUCUUCAGUGAUUCAAAUAAGAAACAUGAAACAUUUAGUGACACGUGAUUUUAUUUACACAGGAAGAGACAGAAUUGAUGAAAAGGGAGAUAGAAGACCUCAAGACAAACGCAAAGGUUUUUCAGCUAAGCAAGUGUACUGCGUGCACUUUCACCCUUGAUCUUCCUGCUGUCCAUUUCAUGUGCAUGCACUCAUUCCAUCUUCGCUGCCUCGGCGACAAUGAGAAAGAAUGCCCGGAAUGUGCAGCUGAAUAUAGAUCUGUUAUGGAGGCAAAGCAGAAGCUAGAACUAAAUUCGAGAGAUCAAAACCUCUUUUUCAGGGAGUUGAGGGGUUCAAAGGAUGGCUUUUCUGUGGUCGCGGACUAUUUUAGCAAGGGCGUGGUGAGCAAAACAACCAUUCCACCUGAAAAUGCCCCAUAGGGAAGAGUUACUAUCUACUGUUUUGCGUUGUACAGCAUAUAUGAUGUUCAUUUCUAUUUGAUUGUGCUUCGGUUCUGCAUAUGCGAGCUUCCGUCAAGUACUAAGUUGUCCUCUCUAGCCUUAUUUGAUCCAUGCUUGAAUUUUCUGUUGUACAAUGGCACUGUAAAUACUUGUUCUAGCCGCCCUUUUUUGCUGGCUGCUGGAAAGAGGUUUCUCGGAGUGUGCUGCUUCAAGCAUUCGAGUUUGAAUGGAUAUUUGACAUGUGAUUUCUGCUCAGACAUUUGCUGGGUGUUGGACAGCGAGUUUCUUAUAAAUGGCAAUUUUAUUUUUUUUGAAAAAAAAGAAAGAAAAGAAGACAUCAGUUCUGCUUCUAUUUGAUAGUACACCGUUUUUGUGAUGAUUUUUUUUAUGAGAUUGCAAUUUUUACGGUAGCUGUGUUUUUGCUGGGUGCUGGAAAGAGGUUGCCACGUGGUUCAUUUUUUUUGUUUUUGAUGUUUUGUAAAAUUAAAAUCACAGCUUUUCCAUCUCAUCUAUUUGUGUUUGUCUGGUAGUUCAUUCUUAUUUGAGUAAAACAAUCGUAGAAUUAUUGUAAGUACAAACUAUCUGUGGACUCUCAAUGUCAGUUAGAGUCGAUGGUUAACCAUGUGUUUUACCUUCAUUCGACUUUAUUGCCAUGUGAAUCUCACAGCAACGAAGUUCGUUUCUUCCAUGGUUCAUCUGAACUGAACCAACUGCAAGCUCCAACUGCUGCUGGCCCCAGAGAACAUGGAGAUGUUCCAUUGGAAUGCAUACAUUGAAUUUGAAGAACUAAAUGCUAUAGAACACGACCGUGAAGAAUGGCAGAGAUCUAGUGUCAUGUGUGUCGAUGUGCUAGUAGGUAGGGUGGACAAUUAUGUGCAUAUACAGAGGCAGUUAUCAGUGACCAGCCUCAACAUUUCAAGCAUUAUAGUACAGUUUGAUUAACAUGAAAGUAUCGUAUCGCCAAUUAACCAUGCACAUACGAGCACCGUACUUGUUUCCCUCAACCACAGUAAAGUGCUAUUCCUCUUUUCAUAUAUACUCCCUCCGUCCCAUAUCAAGUGACUUAACUUUGUCCAAUAUGAAUGUAUUUAUGUCUAAAAAACGUCUAAAUAAAUGUAAUAUAAAGUCACUUAUUAUGGAACGGAGGGAGUAUAAAAUGCCCUAACUUUGUCCUAAGUCAAACUUAUUAAAAUUUUGACAAAAUUAUAGAAAAAAUACAAAUAUUCAAAUAAGUGUAAUAUGAAGAAAAUACACCAUGAUAUAUUUAAUAAAACUAAUUUGAAGUUGCAAAUUGUUGAUAACUUUCUAUAAAUUGGGUCAAACAUUAAAAGGGGAUUUGACUUCGGACAAAGUUAGAACAUCUUAUAUUUAGGACCAAAGUGGAUGCAGUAGCAAAUAAAUCCAUUAUGAAUUGCAAAGGGUUGCCCGUUUUCAUGCUGCAAUUAAAUGUGUUUUUUCGUUGUUGUGUACGCUAUUCAUAAAUUUCCAUACAUUGUACUUUUAUGCCGCGUACCAUUUUUGAUCUUUUGUUGGGAUGAAUGGUCAUUUCUUGCAUACACAUAAUGUUUUCCUACAUAGACAUAGACAUGCCUAAAAUGAUUACCCAUUUGGCGCUCCCCCCGUUCCAAACCAAACAUCCCUGAACUGUAGCUCCACGUCCCGGGCCCUCGGGUUUGGAGCCUGAUGAGGAAAGAAACGGCCGCACGCACCUGCCGCCGGUAGUACGGGCUCAUGGCCUCGGAGCCCACCCACGAGCCAUCGCCUCACCUCACGCCGUAGCAGCAAUCAUAUGCGGCGCACCACGGCGACAGCUCACUCGCGCUUCCGCUCUGGCUCUUGCUCCCGGGCCUGGCUCUGGGUGUACAUCAUCAUCCAUCCUUGUCCCCUUUCCCCCACUCGUGUGUGUGACUGCUGCUGCUGCUCUGCUCAUCAUCACCAUCAUGGCCUGUGCAACCAGCUGAUCGACCGGCCUCAGCUCUCAAGCAGGACGCCUCUGGGUCAUAAUGGGCGGUACGUACACGCUCUUCCAUGUCGGUUCUCCGAUGGCUUCUCUUUCCCUCUUCUUUUUCCAGGCAAUCUUUGAGGUUUCAGGAGCAUCUCUUGCUUUUUUCACCUCUUCUUCUUGGAACUGUAUGUGUGCGUUCUUUGAUGUUCGAGAAAGCUAUUUUUCAGUUUGGCAUUUCCUUGAUCGUAUUUAUUUCGCCGGCCGCAGUCCCACCUGCUUUUCUUUUCUUAAAUCUCAUCUUCUCACUACUCUGUUCGAGUAUAGUACUAGUACGACUACAUUUUAGGAAUUGUAAUUCAGUUUGCGACCUGCAAAUCCUGAUAUAGUCUCUUCCCAUGUUUAAACUAAAGGCGAUGGUGAUGGUCACAUCCCCUUUCGCCAGUCUCCCUGCUUCUUAUUCCUUCCUCUAAAGCUGCAUCCAUCCAUCAGUUUCAUCUUUCUCUUUUGCGCUUUUGCUCUUUCUUCUUCUUCUUCCCCUUUGAUCGCCUUCGAUGCCACAGUCUUGACCACAUCAAUCACUGACCACAGUAGCGACAUUGGGGGCGGCACUGCUCUCUGUCUCUGCUCUUUUGCUUACUGGGAAGCAGAACAACUUGCAAGCUCCCAAUGCCGGGGCGCGACCUGGAGGAGUGCGCCUGCGAGACCGCGGUGAGACCGGCCAGGAUCCGCAAGCGGCGCGCGCUGUCGUCGUCCGGCGCGUCGGGCCCGGCCAGGAGGAGGCCCGCGGUGCUGCUGCUGCGGCGGCGGCAGAGGAGAGCCGGAGGAGCGGCCAUGUCGGAGUCGUCGUCCCAGAGCCGGCAUUGCCGCGGCCACGGCCACGCCCCCGAGGGGAUGUCCGCCAGGAGGCUCGUGGCCGCGUUCUGGCAGACGGACAAGGACAGGCUGUUCGGGGACGACGACGCGGUGAUUCGCCGGAGCGUGGUUCCUCGUAGCCACGCCUCCACGGAGGUGAGCAAGCGAUUCCUCAUCUCUUUGGUUUCGUGAUUCCUGGGACUGUUGUGGUUGGCAAGUAAAUCGAUCGAUCUGGCGAUUGUAGGUGUCCAAGAGCUCGAGGAGCAGGACUAGCAAGGUGUUGUUGGAGGCUGGUGGUGGGAAGAGAAGCUGGCACAACGACCCUGGCCAGUGGAUUUCGGCAGAUGCCAUGAGCAAGUGCAGCGCAAUGGAGGUAAGUAAAUCCACAAUUUGAUUGUUUCCAUGUUUACAUAUGUUUCCAUGUUUACAAAAUCUGUAGUUUUUAACUAAAAUGAUGAUAACAGGGGUGUCUGAACUCUGAAGCCUCAACAUACUCUGAGUAGCCGAGCGAGUGACAAGUUUAAUCAAACCCUAGCUAGUUGCUGGUAGAAGGAAUCUUUCACUUCAAAAAGGCGAAAUUUUUUGGUACCUGGUUUCAAACGUUGCACAUCUUUAAAUGCAAGUUGGUUCCCAGAAACACACAAAUAUUUGAGGAAUCAGACCACCUGCCAAAUGCUAGUAUAUGUCUAGAUGAGUAGUUUGUGCAUAGGUGCCGGCGUGCUGAGUUCUUAAGUUACAGAUGAUCUUAAACAAUACUUACUCCGUACCUAGUUAGCUGCAUUUAGAAGGAUUUCUAACUUCGAAAAGGCAUACACUUUUGAUGCCUCUCAAAUUAGUACACCUUUAAGUACGAGUCGGUUUUGUAAACUUGAAAGCAGAAGCAAAUGUGAGGCGCAUCUCUAAGGGAACAUUUUUCAUAUGCACAUGCGUCUUGUUCACUUAUGCUGUUGCAACAGGCUAUCAGCUAGGCCUGAUUGUUUAUUGUGCAGCUGAAAUAGCUCCGUAAUACUUUCCUUACGUCUAGGCUGUUAGGGAGGAUUUAGCUAUUGGGAAGUUGGUACCUUUUAGGUACGUAUGGGCAAACUGGAUGGUUGUCAGAUUUGUUGAAGCUAAUUUUCGGUUUAGAAAAACAGACAGCCUCAUCACAGCUCUUUGAUUAUGUUGCCUGCAUGUGCUGUCUCAGUUUUAGUAUCUAUUUUACUGAAAAGUGUAGUAAUUUAAUCAUUUUGUUCAUUUCAUAUGAGAAGCUUGUUUUCCUUUCGAGAAAUUAAGAAAUGACAAGAACUUGGAAGUUACCAAACAUGGACUUUCUAUUUCAGAUUGGCAGACGCUCUCCGGACGAUGUUUCAAGAUGUCCUGAGGAGAAAGCAAUGCACCUGAAGGAUCUGUACAACAGCUUGAUCGCAUCGAAAGAACUUGCCAAAGUGCUAUCACACAUCUGGGGAGAACUGAACCCAUCGACAGUCUCACUCAUUUCUGCCCUGCGUUCUGAACUUGAUCUCGCUCGCGCUCACGUCCGAAGGCUUAUCAAGGAACAUGAAUCAGAGCGUAUCGAAACCGAUGGCUUCAGGAAGCAACUCCUGGAGGAAAUGCAGUCUUGGAAGGCCAAACAAAAGGAGAAGGCUGCAGCUGCUCUGCAGUACACAGUUACCGAGUUGGACAGCGAGAAGAAGUCGAGGAAAAGGGCAGAGAAGGCUAACAAGAAGCUUGGCGUGGCAUUAGUCGACACGGAGUCGGCGCUAAGUGCCGCGACAGACGAGCUUGAAAGGGAAAGGAAGUGCAAAGCAAGAGUGGAGAAGAUGUGCAGCGAGCUCAUGAGAGGCAUCGCCGAGGACAGGGCCGCGCUGGAGGCAAUGAGGAGAGAAACCGAGCAGGCCCGCGAGGAGCUCGAGAGAGAGCGGGAGAUGCUUCAGCUGGCGGACGAGUGGCGCGAGCAAAGGGUCCAGAUGAAGCUGCUGGAAGCGCGCCUUCAGUUCGAGGAGAAAAACUCAGCCGUCAGUCAGCUGCACGACGAGCUCCAAGCGUAUCUGGACGCUAACAAGGACAAUGGAUCAAAAAUGGAUCGAAACCAUGCGUAUGAAAACGUUGGAGGUCCGGAAGAAUCAGAUGGUGCGAUUGCAGGCAACGGCAGCGACGAUUGCGAGUCGGAAGGGAGUGAUAUGCACUCGAUCGAGCUGAAGGUGGAUGGCAACAGCAAGUGCUGCACCUGGAGCUACGACACUCCUUCGUCAAGGGGCAAUCUCUCGUCGAUGCGUGGAGGGAUAAUAGUCCAGGAAAUGGAUGACGCACUGGAGGGAGACUGGGCCGAAGGAUGCAGCAACGGGAUGCUCAACUUUGAUCAUGACGAGGAGAGGUACCAAGCGAUUGAGGAUCUCAGGGAGCAGAUGUUAGCUGGGUCUGGGCUCAGCAUGUCACAAGGCAGAGAGAAUGCUGAAACAGACUACUGUAUCUUGUAACGGGAACUAAACUGGGAAAAUUAUAUGUAUAGUCAAGGUUCUUCUUUUGUUGACGAGUUUCCUUGUACAUGGAUGUUUUGAGAUCUUGAGAGUUAGGGUUACGGUGUAUUCGUGCUUCCAUGGUUUGGUAGUUUUUUUUUUCCAGAGAGUUAGAGUUUCUUUUUUUCGGAUUGCUUUUGAGGAAGCAAUACUACAACGCCUUAUCUAGUUUGAAAUUCUUGUGGGUAAAAGGUAAACAUGCAUGCGCAAUAAUUUAGCCACCAACCAAAGCAACUCUAUUACAAAUAUAAGUAACUUAACGUUACAAGAAAACAAAUUGCAGCAUGUUAAACCCUAUUUUCAUCGAAACACAAUGCCGUACCAGUGACCCAUGGGGUCCCACUGAUACGGGACGCGUGGGUCGUGAGUAACAAACCCCACCCCCCCGUGAGGUAGGCCUCCCGGGAAGCCCGCCUCAAGGAGACGGUCGUUGUUGAAGACAAAGCCAAGAACCGGAACAUGAGAAGCAAGCACCCGCUUUGGUGGGUACCCGGGAACUCUGGUCCCGGGAAGUGGAAAGAACGCUGUCCCGGCAACUGGCCGGGUGCGCUAGCCGGGAAGGGGCUCCCAGCAACCCGCGCUCGGGCAUGCAGGUGGGGCCCGCAGAACAGUGAAGACAGGACGAGACAGCGAACGCAGUGCAUUUAAUGCACCGACAGUAUUCACAUCUGCAAGUCAGCAAGGCUAGAACGUCUACUCCAUAAUCCAUUUUUAUCUACCGUGUACAGUAGCCUGGUCCAUGCGUGGAUCAACAGUAGUGUAAUUCCUGUGGCGAUGACACGCGUAUAGGAAACGUGUCGCGCUGCAUGCAUCGACACUUGUGGUAUCUCCUUGUCUAUAAAAAGAGGACCAAUGCCACCGGUCAAAGGGUUCCAGUUCGACCGCAGUUAGUAGUAGCAAGGAGCACUGCUCCUGUUCAAUCUCUUAGGAGAACAAGUAGCUCCCCGGGAACUCUCUGGGGCAAUCUGUACGAGCACACAUACAUUUUCGUGAAUACUACACAAAGCAGGACGUAGGGUGUUACACCUCCGGGUGGCCCGAACCUGAAAAACUCACACAUCGACACUUCGUGUCUUUCGUCACGUCGGCGAUCGCCGGAGCCAUCGCCUUGCCCUCCACCGAACCAAAAAAGGGGGUUGCUCAGCAUCCCCGGUGCCGGAGACCCGUGCUCCGACGCACAGUUUUAACACCGACCAAAGAACCUCUAAUACAAUUAUAAGCAACUUAACAUUACACAAAAACUAACUAUUUGUUUCAUAUAAAAACCUAUUUUCAUAGGACAACUUUUACCCAAUUGAAGCAAUUCUUGUACAAUUAUAAACCACUUACAAUUAAAACAAAAUAAACUAUUUUUUGUUUCACAUUGUUUUUGAAGAAACAAUAUGUCUUAACUACUUUGAAUUUCUUGAGGGCCAUAGGAAAACUUGUUUACCUUACUUCAGUAUUGUGACUGUUUUUUUAAUUCGGACCUGAUAGUUUAGUAGCCACAGAAACUAAGAUAUCUACGAUGGUUUUUGUGCAUCCCUAACACACGAAAUAAAAUAAUCCAUAAUCUGUUUUUGGGCCGGACCAUCUUCAAAAUAGUUUGGGCCAUACAAUUCACUAAGACAAAGGGAAAACAUAAAUGAACCUAGUAUCUCUAACCCUAAUAGCACAUACCCUUCUCAUAUUCCCCUUCCGCUCCCGAGCGGCUGGCGGCGCCCAUUUCCUAUGCGGACUAGCUCCCAAUUCUUCCGAUCUUCGUUAUCCCACCCAAAAUAGGUCCGCGUUGCUGCCCAUGUUGGAGACGUGUCGUGCUGCCCUUCAAACGACACAUCCCAAUUGGUAUCCCUCUCGUUAGAUCCAACCGUGCCACCAGAUGGCCGGGAGUGUAGAUCUGGAAUUUGAGUUUGAUAUGGAGGUGGAAUUAGGUAUGUUGGAACGCAAUUUUAAUAAAUCUAUCUUUUGUAUGAUUUACUUUUUCCCUGACGAUGCCCUGUUGGUCUCCCUCUACUCAGAUCCAAACCUUCGAUCGGAGAUGGGGCAUGCAGAUAUGGAACUAAAUCUCGCAUCGGUGCUAAAUGGGGUAUGUAUUAAUGUAACUACCAGUACUCUUUUGUGUGUGUUUUGGUUGCGGUUGCACGGGUUGAUGAUGACUAAUCUGAUUAUGCAGUAUUUUUAUUAUCAAUUGAAUUAGGAACUUGAAUUUGAAUGCAUGAAUUGCUGUGUUUUAAAGCUUUGUCAAAGUUGUCAUGCUUCUUUAGUUUCUUAUUUAGGAUUUUCUUUGUCCCGAAAAAUGUUUGAGCUAGGAAAAUUGCGUUAGUUAGGGAUGUUUCAUGGUCAUUAUGAGAAUAUUGUUGUAAGAAAUAAUGCUUAAGUUUGAAUUAUAUUAUAGCAGAUUUUUUUUCUUGUACAUGUUACUACCUCUGUCCGCGUUUAUCAGGCUUGUGUGUAUAUACAGAUUUUUUUUUUGAAAGGAAACUGUAGGAAGGCUCCGACAGUGAACACGUGUAUAUCUAGAAGAUCAAUUUGAUCAAUUCAGUAUGUAUUAUAUUGCCCAAAAAGUAUACAAUUAGAUUUGUGACCGAAAGAAUUUUUUAGUGAUAUACUUUAUGUCAUAUAACUUAUAUAUCACGAGUCAAAUUGGUGAUUUAGAAACACGUGCAGACCUUAUAAACCCGGACGGGCGUAGUAGAUAACACAAGAUCGCCAUGAUCCCAAAUGCUAGAAUGCUAGAGAAAAAAGAGUUGCUAAUUAGUUAUUGGAAAUCAUAACAAGUGAAGUGGCACAAAUAGAGAACCAAGCAUAACUUGGGUGGUUAGCCAACAAGGUAUGCUGGUAACCUACCGGAAUUUAAUCCUCGAAACUCGCAUUUUGGUGUCUCACCUUGUAAAACUUUAUCUAUAUACCGUUGUACCGCAAUCGUGCAGCUCUUACAGUUUAAUUUUUUUUUCUUGGCACAAAUAUCAUGUCACGAGGUCAAACAUUUCCUUUGCUAACUGUUGGCAUAUUUUUAGUAUACUAUCUCCAUCCACAAAUAAGUGUACGGUUAGCUUCAAAAUCUGUCCACAAAAGAGUGUACUUUUUUUUUUCAAAACACUUUAAAGUAAAAAAAUUGCUUCUAUUUCUCAUCACACAGAAAUCAAACCCAAUAAUAUUUCUCCAUGCACUUAGCUCAUUAGAGGCAAAUGAAUUAAAGAGGAAAGAGAUGGUGGUUGUGUAUUUAGUUUUUCUGUCCCAGCCUAGUGUGGGAACACUUCUGAUAAAAAUAAUCAGAAUGCCUAAUUAUUAAUUUUAGUUCCAUAUACUUAAUCUUGCUGCCGAAAGCCGCAUGAGAGUGACUAAUCUUGUGUAGGACUCACAAAAGAAAACAUACCAUUGUAUACCUUAAUUUUGUGCUGAUCACAUUUUCAGUUGUCUGAUCGUCGAUCUAGCUGAAUCAAAUAUCUGAUGUUGAUGCCAUUUUCACUAAUCAGUUUCGGAGAUGGAUUAAUUCCUAUUGCAAUACGAGUUGAAUACUCUGAGGUUGCAAUGAUCUAAUCUAAUCAAUAUAUGUGUGUGUGUUGUAGGAGGAUGUACAGGCAAGUGAAGACAAGCAGGAUCAUCAACACUUUCAAGAACACAGCCUGAUCCCACAGCCCCAGCCUCCGGUUGCCGCAGCAGCCACACUCCCAGACGACAUACUGUUCUCGGAAGUUUUGGUGCGCCUUCCUGUUAAAUCCCUCAUGCGCUUCAAAUGUGUCUGCCCCUCCUGGUGCGCUGCCAUCGCUGAUGCUGACUUCAUUCGCCGCCAUCUAGACCACUCCCGAGGGAUUAUGCCGUCCAUUCUCGUCACCCCGCGCGAAAGCUCUGGCGACGACGACGACGACGACGAGUUCUCUGAGGAUAUCUCCUUCCACCGUCUCCAGCUUGAACAGGCACUGGCUGGCACCAUCAUGGAGGAGUUGAUGCUGAAGAAAGUGUCGCCGGACCAAGAAGAUGGCAUCACAAACAAGAUCUUCCUUACACACUGCGACGGCUUGGUGGCCAUCACGACCACCACAAACCAGGUAUUUGUGUGCAACCCAGCCACACAGGAAUUUGUCGCGCUGCCGACUAGGACCCCGGACUUUGACUCUGACGAAUAUUCCAAUGAGCCUACCACGGCAGCGCUCGGCUUCGAUCCACACCGCAACCGGUACGUCGUUGCCAGGUACUUCUACAAGCCCACAUCGAGCAGUGAGGACAACAACAAUAUGGGGCACGAGGUCUUCUGGCUAGGGGGCGAUUCCACAUGGUCUUGGAAGCCCACUCAAGACCCACCGCUACCGAUCUAUCAAACUCGACCAGCCUUCAUGGGAGGGGCCUUCUACUGGAAAUCUGCCGACCAAUCGCUGCUGCGGUUUAGCCUUGGCGAUGAGGCAUUUGAGGUGAUCCCACCACCUCCAGGCGCCUCCUCCCACUACACUCUUGAAAGUCUGACGGAACUAGACGGCAACCUGUGCCACACCUACACCUCGUCUCAGACCAAAUUUGAGGUGUGGCAGCUGGCGGAUGACAGGUCAUCAUGGUCGAAGCGUUGCCAAGUCAUUAACUUUGACUUGUCUUUUGGCUCGGAAGCCUUCUUGCCUGUUUGGGCUGGCAGGGGUGGGAUGCUGUUGGCUGUCGACUACAACAAGCUAUACUGGUACUGCGACAAGAGUGGAUCUCUAAAGAAAGUGGUGGACAUGGAACAUGAGGUGGAUUUGGGGAGACGAGAGGACGGAUUUUACCGGCAGCAGAUCGUUCCUUACAUUGAGAGUCUGGUUUCCAUAAGAAAGUGAUUAGUGCUGAAUGGUCCAGUGCAAGGUGUCCUACCAACUUGGGAGUAUUGGUGCUUGUUUGUCAGAUAUGCUGUUCAGUUUCCAAACUCCUUCAGAUAUAAUUUCCUUUUUCUUUCUUGGGAAGGGAGUCUUAUUGAUUCCCAGAUACUAUAUUAAGCUAAUAAAGAACACAUGUGUGUGUUCAACAUAUAUACCCACCCUGCUUAUCAAACCAGGAGAAUUGUUACGAGUCUUAUUGAUUCCCAAAGACUAUAUUAAGCUAAUAAAGAACACAUGUGUGUGUGUUCAACAUACCUAGACCCUGCAUAUCAAACCAGGAGAGUUGUUACUCACUCGAGUACAUGAAUGUGAAAGAAACAAAAGGAUCCAUGGCGUCACAUCGAUGGAGCGGAAUAGGUGAACACCCCACUGGCACCCGCUCCACCUGCAAACACGCUGCCGACAAAACUUUCAAGUCCGGUUCGUAAAGCAUAGACCAAGUACAAAGCUAAUGUGUACGAGCUAACAUGCAUACAUAACCUGCACUCUCACUACUACAAAACAUGUUAUUACUUAUAAUGAUGACUUUUUCAUCAACGAUAGGUUAGAACUUAGAACACCCGUCAAUGAUGACUUAAUUUGCAUGUUAUUUAAACAGCACUUCAUUCAUUCAAUCAUUAUCUCAUAGCAUGACUACAGCCAGUCAUACAGUCACCAAUUCAGUGAGCGUGCAGCAAUGCACACAUGCAUAUUUACACUGCUACACAAAAAUUGACAUUUUUCAUCUCUGUUCAGAGACCAUAUGAAGGGAGAGCGAAACCCCAUUUGUCCAUUUAGGGCUAGUUCAUUUAUGCUCUUCCCGGUGGGGAUUGACAGGGAAUGGUGAAAUUGUAGUUCAAGUUCCUCCUAAUCCCUCUCAAUCCUGGAGGGAUUAUCACAAACGUACAGGCCAUUAGGGGGUGUUUGGACAAACGGGGAUGAGCAAAAUACCAAGUUUUCCAGUGAAAGCUCCUAUUUGUCCUCCCCAUUUGUCCAUUAUGAAUUUUUAUUCUAAUUUGCACCUAUGCACAUGAUUUGAACACCAUUGAUAAUUCAAAGGUAAAAAUUGGGGCACACAUAAUUGAAUACCAAUUAAAAUUAAAAUUAAAAUGCAAUAACAAUUCAUAUAUCUUGUUCUUUUAUGCACAACAAAUGAGCUGCUCGAUCUAGAUGAAUGUAGUCUAAUGUUAAACUCAGUUCAAUUAAAACUAUGGAUACAUCAGUGUCAUACCAACCAUGGUUGCUCUCAUCAGUACGUUCAUACGAAAAAAAGGAUCACAAUCAGAAGUUUUAAGCUGACUGUAUAGUGUAUUCCAUAAAGUAAAAGAUUGCAAUUUGUUUGAGACACUGAAUCAGUCUAAAGUCUAUACUAAUUCAUUCAGUUUAUACAUGUUUCCAUCUUGCAUAGAGAGGCAGCGCGCAGCUGGAUGCAGAACUGCAGAACAUGUGUAUGUGUACAAAUCGCUUGGAGAAAAUCAGCUUGGUAUACUUACUUGUUAAGCCAAUUUGAAAUGCCUCAACAGGGAAUUCUAGAAGUAGAGUUGUUUGACGUAUGGGGAGUGGAUUAUAUUGGGCCAUUACAAUCUUCAAAAGGUUAUAAACAUAUAUUGGUAGCAGUUGACUGUCUCGAAAUGGGUAGAGGCAAUCCCGACAGUUCAUGCAGACUCAAAAUCGGUAUGCAAAUUAUUCAGGACAGUCAUUUUCCCCAGGUUUGGAAUACCCAGAGUGAUAAUAAGUGAUGGAGGGACACACUUUACCAGCAGCCAGUUCCAAAAUUUGUUAAGCAAUUAUGGUGUGCACAAUCAUAGGGUGACCACACCUUAUCACCCCCAAGCUAAUGGCCAAGUAGAGCUUUCAAAUAGAGAAAUCAAGCAAAUACUUGAUAAAGUUCUUUCAAAAUCGAGGGCAUAUUGGUCAAUAAAGCUACCAGACACACUUUUGGCAUACAGGACUGCAUACAAAACGCCUCUUGGAAUGUCUCCAUUUCGACUUGUCUAUGGCAAAGCAUGCCAUCUACCAGUUGAGCUAGAGCACAUGGCUUACUGGGCUAUGUGUCAGUUGAAUUUGGAUAUGAGCUUGGUUGAAAGGAAACUACAAAUCUGUGAGCUUGAUGAAUUGAGAAAUGAUGCAUAUGAAAGCUCAAGAAUUUACAAGGAAAGAACAAAGAAGUGGCAUGAUAAGCACAUAUUGAGAAGGGAAUUCAGUCUAGGGGAAACAGUGUGCUCUAUGAUUCAAGAUUCCAUCUCUUCCUUGGGAAAUUCAAAUCGAGAUGGCACGGACCUUUUAUAGUCAAUAAAGUCAUCCUAAUGGAGCUAUUGUUGUGACAAGUCAGUCAGGGGGGACAUUCAAAGCCAAUGGACAAAGGCUUAAACAUUAUAUCAGUGGAGAACCUAUUCAGCAGGAAGAUGAAAAGAACGAUGAUGGACAUGGAGAAUCACCCUCCGUUCCAUCACAAGCUCAAGACUGAUUGUACAAAAGGGGUCCAGCUAAAAGACCUUAAAGAAGCACUAUCAGGAGGCAACUUGAGGUUAAUAAAGUAUUUUGUUUAAGUCAAUAUGAGUUUUUCUUUUAUGUUUUCUUUGUUUUUUUUACUUACAUUAGGAUUGAAGCUCUGGAGUAAGCAGAAGAAUGGAGGGGAGAAAAUCAAGAGAAAAUCAUAUAUGAUUGGUGCGUGCAAAUGGCUAUUGAGCUGCACUCUCGAUUUUCCAAUCAGUGAGCUGUUUCAUGCCCAUCAAGAAUGAGCUUACACUAAAAUGUUUUUUUCCCACCAAAAUCUGCUAAAACUUUCGCAUGAAUCUUGAACUUUGGUGUGCGUAUUCCCCCUCAUUUGAAUCAGGAAUUUGAACAUCAUGCUCUUUGAAAUCAUACAUCUUUCGGUUAAGCUCUUCUGAAACUAAAUUGUUCCAUACGGUCUUCUCAAGGUGUCAAGGAAAUGAGUACAAACUCAGUUUAGUACCUGCACAAAAUUGGAAGUUACUUGUUUGUUUUACAGUAUUUCUGGACUUAACUUCGAUUUCCUGCAUUCUCUACAUUUGCUCUUGAAUAAUUCUGAAGUUUAAAUAAUACUCACUUCAUUCCUUAAAGAUUGGCAUAUUAGCUUUAAUUAAGACAAGGUUUUGACCACAAGUCAAGGUGUGGUUUAUAUGACAUGAAAUUAGUAUCGCUAGAUUGGUUAUCAAAAGUACUUCAUGAUACUUGUGGUUUCAUGUCAUAUAAAUUACACUUUAACAUAAUAAUUUGUGGUCAAAGGUUUGUCUUGAAAGCUAAUAUGCCAUUUUUUAAGAAAAGGAGGGAGUAUUCCGAAUGCAUAUUGUGUGUGUAGUCCAAUUUUGAGCCAAUUAUUCGGUGUCACUAAGUAGUUUGUCAUGUUCCCUGGAUCGGUGACAAGUGAACAUUGUGGCAUUGAAUAUAGAUUUCCUUUUCAAAAAUAUCUUGCUUUUCUACCUUUUGAUUCAAUAAGUGGUUAAUCCACAUCUUUGCAGUUAUGUUUCCAAUAAGUGGCUCAGCCACAUGAGUUGAUUCUAAUAAGUGGUUUUACCACACUGUUUUUAAUCUUUUCAAUAAGUGGCUUGGCCACAUGGUUCUGCAGCUUUGAAUAAGUGACUCAGUCACAUGUUUGCAAUAAGUGGCUGUGCCACAAUUUCUGUUCUACUCUCUGAAUAAGUGUCUUUGACACAUUGUGCGUUUUCAUUUUCUGCAAUUUUCACAAAACUACGAAGUUGUGUUCAAGCAUUUUCUGAAAUAGUUCAAGUUGCAAAUGCUUAGAAUGUGCCAAAUCUUUGUUAAGUUUAGGAAUAGUGAAACUCGAACAAGUAAACAACAAUAUUUCUGCCUGUACUAAUUUGUUUUGUACUAAUUGCCUUGCUAUCUAAAAGAAGAAGUUGGACUUUGAGCUUACUUGAGGACAAGCAAGAAUUUAAGUUUUGGGGUGUGAUGUGUAUCACAUUUAACAUAAAUUUUAUCCACACUCAUCUCAUUUUUGCUUGAACUUUAUUCAGUUUUCCUUUGUAGAUUAGCUUAUUUAGCUGAGACAAUACUCCUUUGGACCAUUUUAUUCGGUGAAGUGUUAAUUUACAGAUCGGCGCGACGCAAGGCGCAAAUGCUACUCACUGGAACCUUGAAGAGAGGCUGAUCUGACGGACCCACCUGUUAGAGAGCAAAGGCAUCAACUUGUGUAGAAAGUCAGAAAAAAAGAAGUGCAGAACCAAGGAAAGAAAAAGAAAAGAAGGCACCUUCUCGGUCCAUCGCCCCAACAGAAAAAGAAGAGACAUUAGAGCUGAGGCCUGAGGGGCAGAGGGGCAUGUGAGGGUGUUGUGCUGGGGAGGCUGAGAUCCAGAAUUCACGGAGAGAAAAGAAAACCAUGGGGGAAGCUAGGGUUUGCUGGAGAUCUCAAAUCCAGUAGCUCAUGAGACGGAGAUGAGUCGAGGAAACACACGCGAACAAGCUCUGUCCAGCUGAACAAUUCUUGCUUUCCCACCUUCUUUGCUGUCAAGUAAUUGGUUCUUCUCCUCAAUCCUUCUGCUGGCUUCAAGGGUGACCGAAUUCCCCAACCUCUAGCCUUAAUUCUUGUUCAGAACUUGUAAUCUGUUAGUUGCUGAAGCGAAUUCUGUCUCUACUCUCUGAAUUGCUUGUAAUCUUGACACUGAAGAAUAUUUGUGUGGUUUCUGUUAGUGUAAGAACUCAGAUCUUGUUAGUAGUAAACUUGUGUGCUGUGCUUGCUGUUAAUUUGCAACAUCAGUGCUCAGUUUAUUUGUAGUUCGUGCAAAGUAAAAAAAUACCAAAAAAAUAUUUCGUACCAGUUCAUUUCUUUCAGUACUUGUUUUAUUAGUAGUAUAAUUGUUCCUUCUAGCAGUGAUUAACUUGCAAGCUCGGUUUUAUCUCCUUUACCUUGUUGCUCUUCCUCCUGAAUCCCCUUUGCUUUUACUUGGGAGUUAAGACUGCUAGAUUCUAGGGUGUUUAGUUAAGAGUAAAAUUCACCGGGUCCUAAAACUAUUCGAGGGGUGUCAAGUGGAUCGUUAAAAUGCAUACGUGGACCCUAAUUCUUUGUAAGUUGUUCAUGUGUGGUCCAAUCGAGCCAGAGCGGGUGCUGACCGGCCAGGUGGCAAGUUGACCACCACGCUGGCUAACCGUUAGGUGCUGAAAAUUUGCAAAUAGGCCCAUCCUUCCAGUUAACUCAUUCGGCGGUCAUUUUCCCCAAUUCUCCCAUCCCGGAGUAGAGGCGACGUGGGUGGAAAUUCUAGGUUUUCCCCUCCGGUGAGCUUUGAAGGGGGCCGGCAGUGAGGUUGCGGCUUAUCUCCGCCUCUCUUCCUUUGUUUAUAUGGGUUUUUGAAAAAAUUUAGGCCAAAGCUACUUGCGGGAAAACUCCCGCCCAACAACCUCGUCUGACGUGGCAGCGGUCAACUUGCCACCUGGCCGGUCAGUAGCCGCUCUAGCUCGAUUAGGACCACGUGUGAACAACUUACAAACAAUUAGGGUCCAAAUAUGCACUUUUAAAGAAUUUGGAUUUACUUGCACUACUACAAAAACGCAUAUAUGUGACGAGAUAUGAGUGGCAGGUGCAGCCAGCCCGCCACUGAUGUCGAGCAUCAGUGACGGGUGGUCACGCGCCCGCCCCUGAUAAACAGCUGCAGACUUGCAAUUUUGGACCCGACAGACAUCAGUGGUGGGCUCUGCUCAUGACCGCCACUCAUGACUAGUCAUCAGUGGUGGGCCUAGCAGGCCCGACACUGAUAGUGGUUCAUCAGUGGCGGUCGGAAAGGCCUGCCACUAAUGGACACAAGUGAAAAAUUGUAAAAUUCAGAAAAACAUACAUCAGUGCCGGGCGUCGCGUAUAGGCCCGCCACUGAUGAUCCCUGGGGACCUAUGAAAAUUGAAAAAAUCAUAACUUAUUCAUAAAAAAUCAGAAAAACGUGAUUUUUUUGCUAAAGUCUUAUUUUUUCUUGAUUAACAUAUUGGAACAAUAAUACCAUAUGGUGACAUUUGAAAAAUGGCCUAUGUAAUACAAUCUUGUUAUUUCCCGUAGUUAAACUUUAGGUUUUAAACCAAGUGACCAAAGUUUUGUCCAUUUCUAUGGUAUAAUUCAUGAUAAUGUAUCCAUAUUUUUCACAAGUGUGCAUAUUCUCAUGAAAAACUAUAUUUUAAAAAUGUUUACAAAGUUUUGGUUUAAAAAAAUCAUUUUCCAUUUCCCAAAUGCGAAAAAUUGGAUAUUUUGUGAAGCAAGUAAAUUAAUAUGGUUCAAAAUGGCACCUAUACACUUUUCACACAAAGUAGAACUUGUUUCUUUGCAAAUGUCCAAAGGUUUUGAAAAUUCUGCACAAAAUGUACUAGUAUUAGGUAUGAAUGUUUAUGUGUUUCAGGGAACGGGUUAUUUUGUGAAGCAAAUACAAAUAAAAUGGUUAAAAAUGACACAUAUCAAGUUUCCAGAAAUAGUAGACCACAUUGAUGAACUCAUAAACCAAUUUACUUAUUUAGAAUAUUUGUACAUUAUAUGAAAACAAAAAAUACAAAUUAUGAACCCAUCAGUAUCGGUUCAUGCCGUGAUACCCGCCACUAAUGGCCAUUUAGGCCCAGCCCAGCCUGAGGGGCCUAGGGUUUGGAGGGAUACCCUAUAAAAGCUAGCCUCGUCUCCCCCAUCCCCAAUUUUUCCUCCCCCAGCCGCCACAUGCUUAUCUCUCCCUCUGCCCUCCCCAUCUCUCACCUUGUCUACCUCCUACACGAACAGCCCUAUCUCCUUCCUCACCAGCGCCACCGCCCCUCCUCCCUCACUGUGAUUCCCUCUCCACCUCCCACAUCGGCGGCCGGCGACGGCAGAGCACAUAUGGAGGAGCAGCAGCACCGGCAGCGCGCGCGUGGAGGAGCAGCGCCGGCAGCAACACGUGUAGGAGCAGCAGCGCGGGUGGAGGAGCAGCAGCGCGGGUGGAGGAGCAGCGGCGGCGCGUGGCGCUUGGAGGAGCAGCCGACGUCCAUGACGCCGGAUGACUGCCGUCGCCCCCCCCCCCCCUCCCUCCACCGCAGGCAGGUAAUCUCUCCGUACGUUCUCGCUCUCUCGGUUCGUCUCUCUCUCCGCCAUGACACCCUGCUGCCGGAUACCGGCCGCCUCACGCUCUCUCAAUUCGUCUCUCUCUCCCUCUGAUUUAUCUCUUUGUUACCUAUCCUUCUCUCCCUCUCUCUGUGUUCUCUCUCACUUUCAGAAGGUCGCCGUCGAUCUGUAGACGAGGAGGUUGUUUCUAAAUCGGCUGCAACGAGGCGAUGUAAUUUGUAGUUUUUAAUUGUGUUCUCUGUUGUCAAUCCAUGCGACGUCAUUUUGAUUGCUAAGUGUGUUCUGCUGUGAAUGCAUCCGAUGAUUUAAUUUUGAUUUUUCUUUACUCGGCUACUAUCUCUGCUGAUACAAUUAUGCCAGCAAUUUGUGUGUGAUUAGAACAAAAUAAACAUGGCUAGCAUAUAAUUAUAUGCUAGCCAUGAGCUUUUUUUAAUUAUGGUCACAACUCAUCAGUGUCGGUCCCUCUACUUGUGCCCGCCACAUGCCCGUUACUGAUGUUCAGUACAUUAGUGACAGGAAGUUAGUGACGGGCGGCCCGUCCGUUACUGAUAUGCUUUUUCGACCGUUACUGAUAACCAUUUCUGUAGUAGUGUUGACACACCUCGAAUAGUUAUAGGACCUGCGGUGCAUUUUACUCUUUAGUUAAUUUAAUCUGAGAGCUUUAAAUCUUUACUUGCUGCAUAUUUAAAUGUUUUGUUCAGUGGUUUGUAGAUCAAUUUUCCCUUUGGUUCUGUUUUAGCUUUGUCUAAUUGUUGUAGCCAAUAGAUCAGUCCUUGUGGAGAGAACGACAAAACACUUCCUAAAAUUACAUUCGUCGGGCAUGAUUGGAUGGGGCGAACCGUGGGGAUCGCGGAUCGGGGCAGGUGUGCGAGGAAUAGUUAAAGGAGGAGAGGAGUUGGAUCGGUACUUCAGGAAGGAGGCGGAUCGAGAGGUGCGAGGAGGGCGAGGAGGAGGCGGAUCGUGGAGGGCAGGUGUGCAAGGAAGUGUUUGGAGAGGAGAGAUGUUGGAUUGAAACUUCGGGGAGGAGACGGAUAGAGAGGACGUGAGGAGAAGGGCUGAGGACGUACUGUGACGACGACCGUAUCAUCGUCACCAACUUCAUUUUAAUAUAUUGAUAUAGAUACAGUCUUAAACGUAUACCACGCAGGUAUGUUCUCUAAAUCUAAUGUUCAACUUAGCUCAUAUUUAGCUGUAGGCUUUGGCGGGCCCGGUCCUCGGAGUGCAGCUGUGCAGCGCACCGGGCCCCAAGUUUCUAAGGCUCUCCUACCCGACGAUAUGUGUGUGUGCAGUAUGCUAAUGGGCCUGGCUCAAUUUUUUUUUCCAAUUUCCAUCCCGACUCGAUCCGUCGUCUUGGACUCCCGAUCGUUGUCUCCUGACGCGCGGCACUUGCCCGCCUGCGUGGAAGCGUCAUUAGAUCGUGUGGCCUCAUCGGUCAUCGGCUGAUUGAUCGCCUAGCUAGCCGCCCCUCAGUAAGCCUGCCGCUACGCUGUGCCCUGCGCCUCUUGCAUGCAGCAAGCCGGUUCGAGUUGGAGUCUUCAAAAUAUCAAAGCCGGCCUGCUGCUUCCGCAACCUGCAUCGUGUGGCCUGAUCGCCCUGCUGCCUGCACGCUGCAUCGCCGUCAACGGAAACGGGACUACGUACGGACGUGAGCCAUCUUACCUACCCAUCUUUGAUCUUUUGAUUCUUUAUGCUAGUUUCAGUUUGUAAAUUUAUCUAGUCUUGUUAAAUUUCAGAACUAUGAAAUCAUCGUCAUCUUGAAAACAUCCAUCCAGCAAUGCGAACAGCAGUAAAUUUAUCAGUCUCGUUAAAUUUCAGAACUAUGAGUCCUUUGUCGUCUAGAAAAGAUCCAUCCAGCGGUGAGAAAAGCAAAAGGAUUUUUUUAUAUAUAAGGAAUGUUAGAGAAAUGUUUAAGGUAACAUCUAUAAACUUAUAAGUACUCCCUCUGUUUCAUAAUUCUUGUCGAAAUAUUACAUGUAUCUAAACGUUUUUUAGUAAUAGAUACAUCCAUUGUUGGGCAAAUUUGAGACAAGAAUUAUGAAACGGAGGAAGUAGUACUUUUCCUAUCCACCCGAAAUCUCAUGACCGGGCCGGGGCAUCCUAACUCCGCCACUCAUUGCAGAUAUUGGGGAUCUCCAAUGGAACCCCCAAAAAUGGUCCACAUAGCUCAUUGGGGGGGGGGGGGGGGGUGGGGGGCGGUUGGGUACGGGGAGUCUCCAUUUGUGCAAAACAUUUUCAAACUUUGUCCACUUGUCUUCUUGUCCCACAUGUUAAAUACUCAUGAAGAGAUAAAUGGGGUUACCGUUGGACAGUUUGAUAUUUUACUCACCCCAAUUUGUCCAAAGAUCCCCUAAAUGGACAAAUGGGGAGGACAAAUGGCGACUCACCCUUGGAGAUGCCUUUAGGUGGCUGGAUUGGCAUGCUGUCAGCAGAAACUGACCACGCAAACCCAUCCCAAAGGGGUGGUGGCAGCCUGGCACGGUCACGGGGUGCCCGGACAUCUAAUAGUGGCACCUUCUCUCGUCGGUGGAACCGAAUGAUCAGUGCAGCAGUUACCUUAGAGCAUCUCCACUCCCCCGCCCCCAUAUGGCGUCUGGAGCUAGGCCAUAUGGGGGGGGGGGGGGGGCACACACAGUUCAUUUGAGGUCAAGCCGUGACCCAACCACACCCCCGAAACAGCGGUCCCAAAAUACAAUUCAAACAUUAAAGUUUUGCCGCCACUUCACAGGCCAGCCCAAAUCGCCUGAAUUUAUCACAAGUCUCGGCGAACAAAAUAACAUCAAACUUAAAUAAAGUAAAUCACUCGGCCCGAUGGUCCUCUGCCAGAGUUGAAGUCACUUCCAAGCUCGCCGGUGUUGUAGAAGUGGCCGGAGCUGUUUCGGGCGGUGAUGGUGCCGAUGGCAUAGAGGCGGCCGGAGCUUCCGUGUCGGGCAUCGAUGGUGGAGUCAAUGUUGUCGGCGCUCUCGCUUCGGCCAAAAUGAGCCUGCGUUGCCCGCCUUACCAUGCCUUCACCUCGUCGUCCAUGCCAGUGGUGUCGCAUAUCAAGUUCAACAAGUCCUCCCGUCACUUCUUCGCCGCGAUGUUCGCCUUGAGGACCUCCAGCUUGUCAUCUUUCUUCUUGAUCACUGUCGCCCACCAUGAGGCCGCGACCUCGUCCCUCUUUGCGGCUUGUGCGGUGGCGGCGGUCAUGCACUUCUCGAUGCAUGUGUAGAGGCGCUCCGUGGCCGGCACGGCAUCCCUCGCCGCCUUUGCCUUCUUGUGGCCGAUGGGCCGACCCCCCGCCGCCGCCGAAGGAGCGCCUUUUGGGUCGUAGGGGCGUCCUUUGACCUCGCGAGAGCAUUCCGCGUCUCCAUCCACUUGUCGCAUGUCUCAAUUCUUGCGAAGACGCGGAUGAACUUGAACGCGACGUCAUCGUUGUCCUCUCGGUAGGCGGUGAACAUGGUGACCAUCUACAAGAUGCCAGCCCGCAAAUGUAAAAUCGGCGACACAAAAAGAGUAAAAGACGAUGGCUUUACCUGAUCGUGGACGUUGCUGCCGCUUUGGGGUCGCUGACGCACCUCUUCUUAAAUGCCAUGCCAUUUGUUGCACGCUUGUUGGAUCAAUCCCCAACGGUGUGACAUGCUGCACUCGUUGCGCUCGUGGGUCAACAUCUGGAACUCCCGAUCGAUAGGCCGGCGCUCAUCAUAUGUCGCCUUCACCCCCUCCAAUAGGUGUCGGCAUUUUGAUUCGCGCCAGUGAAGGGGUCCAUGCUCACGGCUAUCGGCUCUAGGGAUACGGGGGUGUCCCGGAUACAAGGAGCGUGAGACACGGCCCCACCAUGUCAGCGUUAGGCUCCCCGGGGACGGGGUACCCCGGGGACUACCUUCCCGGGAGACUUGUGACCGUUCUCUCCUCCCUCGGGCCCGGGGCCGAAAGGCUCCAGGGGGGUGCCUGGUCUGGCACUUGGGGAGGGAAUGCGUCACUGCUUACCACAGCCAGUCCUGGGCGGCUACUUUGGCGCCCACGAGCUUGGACUGGUAGGAAUCUGCGCGUUCAAAGGCGUCCUCGGGACCGCGCGACUGUGGUGUGACGAUCGCUGGCGAGGACGACGUGCGGGAUGCAGCAGGUCCCCUUUACCUUUUGAUCGGCCAGCUUCCAUGCCGCGUCAGGACUAUCACCGUUUCGGCCCAGCCAGGGCCGAAAGUUUCUCUGUGCCCUCGGCAGGGUGGGUACAGAUCACUUUGGACAGGAGCCAUAGUGCAGGCGGACAGUUUCAUAUCGUCUUGUAGCGGGGAUGUUCCCAUGUAGCAACACGCAUGCUGGGUGCCCUAAGUUUGCCACUGUGGUGACCCCUUGAACUAUAAAAGGAGGCCCAAUGCCCCCAAAGAGGUUGGCAUCAAGGAUAGACCAGGCAUAAGCAGUUCGGGUAGGAGAAGGGUUGGUGUUCCGACCGCCAGAGAAGAGCAGCGUCUACUUCUCCCUCCUCCCCGGGCCGCCGUAGUUUAGGCUAGAGCUCGCCGCUCCGGCUGCUCGUUGUAACCUCUCCUUGUGCCAUCCACCACCAUUUAUACACUCAAAGCAGGAUGUAGGGUAUUACACCUUUGGGUGGCCCGAACCUGGGUAAAUCUUCGGAGUCGAAGUCCUUACCGGUGAGGCUCGGAGCACUCUUCCCGCGCCCCACUCUACCUAAACUAAAAGGGGGUGUCUGCACUCCCUAUGUCCGUGUUCACACACACGCACGACCUUCGAAGCUUCAGCAAGGCACUCAUCCUCCUUGGAAGUCUACUUGGUUCCUCAGCCUUCGCCACCGACCUUCUUCUUCUCGUCUGCCACCUUCUUCUUCCCCUUCGGCUCAGCGACGGUGGGCUACUCGGUCUCUUCUACCAUGUCGUAGGUCUCCUCGCCAGCGUAGGCUUCUUCUUGAGUGUAGGUGUAGUGGGCAUGCUGGGAGCCGUCGUCGAUCAUGUCGGCCAUAAUAGACUCGCCUUGUGACAUUCCACCAAACGGGUUGGGCGCGGCCUAGGUGCAGUUGACGGGGAAGGUGUUCAGCUAGAAAGAUGCCGAUGGCGAAGAUUCGGCAUAGGAAAAAGGCCCACGCUGCAAAGGAGGCGAGGCGAAGCUGUUGGGGUUGAAGCCGCCAAGAGGAUCCGUGGCAAAGGUGUUUGGGUUUAAGCCGCCGAGUGGAUCGGUGACAGGGUAGUCCGGCAAGAACCGCGAGAGCGACGGUGUGGCAUUCCCAUGGUUUUCAUGGGACAUCUGGGGCGACGCCGGCUAAAUGCUCGGCGGUUACGGUGACGGUGACGACGAUGAGCUCCCUUGGUUGCUGCCGCUCCAGUAUUGGCCGAAGGAAGGCAGUGGCGCCGCCCUGCCGGCCAUGGUCGCGGCCAUCUGUGCCGCAGCCGCGACCCUCCAUGCAUCCAGCUGCCAGGGCAGGGCGGCGUUCCUCUCCUUGGUCAUCUUCUCCUGACUUCGGCGGGCGGCGUUCUCGACUUGGAAACAGGAGCAAUCCGCGAGCCAGACGGCGGUGCUCAUCCCAGGUGGACGCUCGACCCUCAAUCUCUUCGGCAUUGCGUCGCCGGGCACCGUGGAGCGAGCGCUGCGUACCUCUUCGGUGGCAUGGCUUUGGGGUGUCGGCGGUGUCUGUGGAGAAUGGAGGGAAAAAAGGUGGGCCAACGAAACUUUGGAGGGAAUUUUGGAUUAUCUUGCCAAUAGGAGUGCCCGCCUUGCUUUUCGGCUUCAGCUAGCGCCCCCCAUCACCCCCCCCCCCACCGCGAGUUGGGUGCGGGUUGGGGUCACCGGCUAAAUUCUUGAGCCGCGCCAGCUACUUUUCAGAAUUGGGGGGGUGAGCUGGGUAGUUUUUUCGGUGCUGGCGCCCCCAUUUGGCCUUUGGGGGACCUUUAGUGGGGCCGGCUAGAGAUGCUCUUACCCACCGUGCCACCCUCCCUCUAGCCUCUUCUAUGCAUCUCCUUAUAAGCAAUGGAAGGGAUGGAAUGCACACUAACCUAGUGGAGACGCUGCAACCCACAUUGAAGCGUAACGAGAUUAGCCAACAAGUAAGCUACUGAUGUACCAUCAUCAGUAACGGUCACUGGACCGUUACUGAUGUAUAUAUCAUCAGUGGCGGGCUGGCCGACCCAACCGUUACUGAUGUAUAUAUCAUCAGUAACGGUCGCGUUACCACAUCAGUGUCGGUCGAGCGAUCGACACUGAUACAUUUUCGGUAUUUAAAAAAAUAAUUAAAACCAUAGAAAAUACAUAUAAUGUAUAUACAGCACAGCACAGAAUGUAUAUAUAGCACAACACAUAAAAAUACAUAUAAAGCCGCAUCACAUCACAGCACAGCACAGCACAUCACAUCACAUCAUUUAAAGCAUAUAAAUGUAUAUAAAGCCGCAUCAUUUAAAGCAUAUAAAGAAUACAAAAGUAUCUCACUUCACGACAUUGAUUACAAAGUGUCAAAAUUUCAUAGAAGCAUAUAAAGAAUACAAAUAUAUCUCAUUUCAAGUUUGAAGCUAUUGUUGCGGGUGAACCCUAGACACCACUUGUUCCACGCGUUCGUAGAAGUACCCACUAGGCUUGAUGACCUCAUUGUUGAUGAGAUGGGCGGACUCCCUUUGAAUGUUAUACACGACCCAUUUAGGUAGGUGUCCCAUUGUCAUUCAUCGCCGUGACUGACCCCUUCCACUCAGGCUUGAACAUGCUGGCAUUCUCCAUAAGGAUGUGAAUGCUAUACAUAGCUCCUUCAAGUUGUGGCUCCCCCUCGGUGUCUUCUUCCUUGGCUUCUUAGCGGGAGUUUCAGUUGGCUGCGGGUUACUCUCUUCCACCCGUCGCUCGUUGUCGCGCUCUUCUGAACGAGAGCUACCUGAGCCAGAGCUGGCAAUUUGCUCUGUCGAUGAAGACUCUUCAUCGACACGAUCUACCUCCUCCCGAUCAAGAACUGGUUUCUGGCUACUCUUGCCCAUUUCGUACCUAUGCCAUCAAAACCAUCAAAUAUGUAUCGGCCGAAAAUUUUGGCAUGACCUAUGCUAAAAACUAGCAAUUUUUCUCUACUAGGAGCUCGAAACCUGCAUAAAAACCCACCCGCAUAUGUACCCCCUCGGCACGAUGGCCGGCCCCUUCUCCAAUGACCCGACACGAUGGUCGGGUCCACAAUUCAUUACUUAAUUCUCCAAAAUAGCAUAUAAAACCGCUAUAUAAAAAACUACAUGUAUAGCAUAUAAAACAACAUGUAUAUAGCAUAUAAAACAUCAUGUAUAUAACAUAUAAAAAACUACAAUGCAUAUACUCAUGUGUGCUAUAUAUUAUCAAAUGCAUAUACUCAUGUGUGAUAUAUAUUACAAUGCAUAAAACAUCAUGUAAAAUGUGCUCACUACAAUGCUCUGUAACUCAAUACUAUAUCAAAUUCACAAUGGUAAUUAAAAUGUAUCAAUGUUACAAAUUAGCUAUUACAAUAUGUGUGCCCAUCUAACUCAAUACUAUAUCAAAUUCACAAUGUAUACAUGCCCUGGUGUGUGGUGGGAAAUGUACAUCUAAUUUGAUAUAAAUUAUCUACUACUACAAACUACAAUGGUAAUCCUAAAUUAACAGCAACAAAUCCUAAAUCCUAACCCUAAAUUAACAGCAACAAAUCCUAACCCUAACCCUAAAUUAACAGCAACAAAUCCUAACCCUAACCCUAAAUUAACAGCAACAAAUCCUAACCCUAACCCUAAAUUAACAGCAACAAAUCCUAACCCUAAGUUAACAGGAACAAAUCCUAACCCUAACCCUAACCCUAACCCUAAAUCAAGCUAAAGAGGAGAGGGAGGGAGGCAGAGGAGAAGGAGGCAGAGUCACGCACCUGUGGCUCGGGGAGGAGGGAGACGGCAGCGCGGGGUGGCGGCGCUCGGGCUCGGGGACGAGGACGCGGGGUCGGGGAGGAGGACGACACGGGGUGGCGGCGCUCGGGCGAGGACAACAGCGGGGUGGCGGUGCUCGGGGUCGGUGACGAGGACGACGAGGCCGCUGGCGGCGGGCUCCAGGCGAGGACGGGGAGGCACGGGCUCGGGGCGGAGAGGAAGAUGGCGCGGAGGCGAGGACGAGGAGGCCGUCGCCGGGCUCGGGGCAGCGCAGGGUCGACGGUGGCGGCGGCGCGAAAAUCUGGCAGCGCUUCGCUAGGGUUAGGGAAGCGCCCACGGCUGAUCUCUCGGGUUAGGGGAGGACGCGCAGGCGAGAAUGAGACUAAAUGUUUCGGCGUGUUCCCUUAUAUACCCUAUAUACAUCAGUAACGGGCGGGUAAGGAACGCGACCGUUACUGAUGUUCCUUCAAUCAUCAGUAACGAGCGCGGAACAAAACGCCCGCCACUGAUGUGCUCAAGUGAGCAAUGCUCAACAGAACAUCAAUAAUGGUCGCCUUGUUACCCGACCGUUACUGAUGUGUGCAUAUACUCAUCAGUAACGGGCGGGUAACCAGGCGACCGUUACUGAUGCGUUCCCAUACUUGUUGGGAUAGAUGAAAUCAAAAAUCCAUGCAUUGUGUCUAGUUUUUUUUUUGGGAGUGACAAAGCAAUGUACUAACAUGCAUACACAAAAGUACAUCGAUCACACAUAAUUUCACUUAGUACAAAGUUUGCAUUAAGAUUCAGUACGGGUACAUUUUACAAUAUGACUACUAGUGCUUCUUCUUCCUUCGGUAAGUCAUAACUUGACUCCUCGCAGAACUGCUUCUGAGGUAGGGUUUUUGUGGUAUUUUCUCGCUCUCGCUCCCAUCACUUCUUCUUUUUCCUCUCCUUUUCCUCGUUAAUAUCGUGCGUUCCGCUUCUUCGUCAUUUGCGGCAGUUGUCGGAUCAUGAAAACCUUCGUAGUCUUCUUGUGAAGUAACUCCAUCCACUCCAACAAUGCUUCUUUUCCCUCUUCUUACUACGGCGCGGCCUUUAUUUGCUGGGUCGUCUAUGUAGAAUACCUGCUUGCAUUGUUAAGAAAAGACCCAUGGUUCCUCUCUUGCAUCCCUUCAAGGGUCUUUAGCAUCCAACCACUUUCGGUGGCCCAUGUAAACAAUUUUGGAUGUCGUGUUUUCUCUGCACAUUGUACAGGCCUUGUAGCCAUGUGUCACCUGGCAUGAAGUAUUUCCAUUCGCGGGGUAGUCAUGCACGCAGGUCAGAAACGCUACUCUCAUCGUGAAGUACUCCCUCCUGUUUGCGUCCCAAACCACUCUGCCAGGGUUCCAAAGCUGCUUCAGCUCAUCCUUCAUUAGCUGCAGAUACACAUUUAGGUCAGCUCUCGACUGCCUUGUACCCUGUAUGAGCAUGCACAUGUGGAUGUACUUUCUCUUCAUCAUUAACCAUGGAGGAAGGUUGUAGACAAACAAGAUACUGGCCAUGUGCUGUGCUUGUUGUUCAUGUUUCCGAAAGGAUUUAUCCCGUCAGUGCUGAGACCGAGCCUCAGGUUUCUGGGCUCUGCCCCGAAAUUCGGAAAUGCCAUGUCGAAGUUUCUCCACCGAGUCUCAUCAGCAGGAUGUCUUAGGACCCCAGGUUCCUCCACACGGUAGUGCCCGUCAGGAUCGAAUGCAGCCUGCGCCGGAUCGUGAUGGACGAGAUACCUCAUGUCCUUAACGUUCUGCAUCCAACGUUCAACUCGGCCGCCUGCCGUAAGAUACCAGACAGUCUUUGCCCAAAGACCUGCCCUUCAUCACUUCUUUCCCAUCGUCUUCGCCAGCUCUGGCGUUUUUCUUCUUGUAUCUCGAUGCAACGCAUAUGUGGCAGCUCUCAUGGUUCUCGUAUUCUCCAAUGUAUACCAUGCAGUCAUUUGGACAUGAAUGAUGUUUCACGCAAUCUAAUCCAAGCGGGCAUGGAAUCUUUUUCGCCUUGUAUGUGCUCUUGAGCAACUUCUUUGGCUGUGGAAAAACCGAAACAAGGUAACUCAACAAGUCCGUGAACCCUUGUCUGACCAGCAUGAUGCUGCCUUCAGCCUCAAAAGUUCGAGCGUCACUUCGAGCACGUUGUUUUCUUCGCCAGCUCCAUCAUACAAGGGUGUGUUUGCGUCUUCCAACAAUUUUUUGAACUGAGCAGACUCUGCCUCAUCUUCGGGGUCCUCCAGCUGGUCCCGUACGUACGGGUCAUCUAGCAUUUCGGCAAUCCUGCCACGUGGAGCUCCUUCACCUUCCACAUUAGCCUCCUCAUCAACCCUUGUUUCUUCUUCGGAAUCAUUCACCAGAUCAUACCGCAGGACAUCAUCAUCUUCGCUACUGCUACCGACAUCAACCGCAUCCUCCUCGUGACAAGUCCAGCGAGAAUAACCUUCCACAUAACCCGAUGCCAGCACGUGCAUCUGAACAUCUUCAGGCUUCAUCAUGCAUGUGUUUCCACAUUUGCGACAUGGACAACGCAUCAUCACAAGUCCUUUUCGUUCCAUAUCACCUUUGGUGACUCCAAAAAAGACCGUCCAUUCGGUUAUCCAACGAGCAUUGAUUCUUUCCUUGGCGUACAUCCAAGAACGAUCCUUUGAUCUACAACACAAUACACAAGAAAACAAACGAAGCAAAAUAGUUAGCCUAAUCAUUGACAAGGGGAUUAAGGUGUUAAUUAACCGGAGCUAACUAAAAAUUUGAAAUUAGAGAAAUUGGAGGCCGGCGAGAAAGAUCGGGAGGGAGAGAGAGCUUGCAAGGGAGAGGGAAGCUCCGGGCGACGACGAGGAGGCCGCAUUUUGGCCGGCGGCCGGAGCUCAAAAAUUUGAAAUUGGGUAACUUCGGAGAGAAAUUGGAGACCGACGAGAUAGAUCAGGAGGGAGAGGGAAGCUUCGGGGUCGAAGAUCGGAGCUCGACGGCCAUGGAGAUGGCGGCCGCCGGCGCGGGGGUGAGAGAGGAGGAAGGGAGAGGGAGGAGGGGCUACCUGGGGGGCUCACCGGCGGCCAUGGCGCCGUCGGGCAGCGCUUCGUCGUCGUCGGAGAAGAAGGGGCCGCAGCUAGUCCGUUACGACGCGCAGCGCGACCAGGUGCGGCUCUGUUCUUCGUAUUUAAACCGCGAUACUCAUCAGUGGCUGUCGGGAAUUGGGUGACCGUUACUGAUAAUAGGGGGUACAUCAGUAACGGUCGAGUUAGGGCGACCGUGACUGAUGCGUGGUUCAUCAGUGACGGUCGUCUCUUAACCGACCGCAGCUGAUGUAUGGCUGGGCGGGGACGGACAGACCCAGCUCUGUUCAUCAUUAACGGUCGUGGCCGCGACCGACACUGAUGUUGUUCAUCAGUAACUGUCACACCGGACCCGUUACUGAUGUGCCGUUGCAUGUAGACCGUUUUGUAGCAGUGCCUUAGCUAGCUGCUGCCCUUCUUGCCGUCGCAACAGCCCCAGGGAAACCACCGGCAAGCUGAGUGCCGACCGGAGACGACAGCGCGUGGAAGGGCGGCAGCACGCUGGAGGACCGCAGGAAGCAGCUCGCGGGUGCUACGACGCAUUCUUAAUUAAUGCCGCGUCAUGGCGAAGAUCAAGAGUAAAGGCAAUGGGCCAUUGGUGGUCUUUUGGCUCCUCCUGGCACUGGCAGCCAGGGUGGACGUCGGAGAAGAGCGAGCGGCCCGCGUUGAGAUGGAGGAGUGGCGGACGCCGGAGGACACGGUGGAGCCGGAGCUGGACCAGGCCAGGGACCUUCUUGUAUCUGCUGCUGGUCGUAUCACCCCGGACGUGUAUAACGGAAACCAGCAGGUGCGCCUCCCGCACAGCGGCUGUGCAGCGCGAGGAGGCAUCAUCAAUGGUGGAAGAGGCAAUUUAUGUAUAUACCAUAACCCAGAGAGGAACUCCUAGUGGCGACGAUGAUAUAGUACAUGGAUGCCCUGUUACAGUACUACGGAUUACUCCUUCCGAUCCAUAUUUGGACAAAUCCAAGACAAUUGAUAUGGAUCAGAGGGAGUAUUUUUUUUUUGUUUAUUAUUUGUUGGUGACUUGUACCGGUUAUGGAUUCUCAAAUAUACUCAUGGCAUUUAGUUGCCGAGCAACUUCUUCUUUUCCUUAACCGUGCCAAUACAUUGUAAUCAUUUUUUAAGGCUCUCUAUUUUCGCAAAUAGAAACGAUGGACUCUCUCUCUCUCUUUUGGGUCUGACUUUGGCUCAGUCAAUUGAGAAAUAGGAUUUCUUCGUCGACCAGCCAGAUAGGUGUCCUACUCCAGCGAACAAAAUUCCUAGAUGGUUGGUAGUAGCCGGAGCUAGCUAGCUUUACGGGCUUUCCUUAGCAAGCAGCAGGUUAAUCACCGUAAAAUGAGCCUUGGACUUUUGUAUUUCUGCUUGCAAGACCAGUUUUGGCUGGAAAAAACUGACGGAUCAAUCUUGAGGAAACCACAAGACAUGAACAGCACACACAAGGCCAAGGCAAACCAAGCAAGCAUUGCAUCGCCAUGACAAAAAAAAUUAAAUGGGAGAAAGGAAAACAUCAACAAAAAGAAUAAUGAUUAAAUUUUGAAAAUUGCGGGUGAAAUUUGAUGAACAAUUAAUUUUAAAAAAUACGGCUGAAAUUUGAUGUACAAUUAAAAUUGCACGUGAACUUUAGGUGUGACUUUAAAUUGCGGGUGAAAUUUUAGGUGCGAUUUUUAAAAUUGUGCGUGGAAUUUUACGUCCGAUUUCAAAAAUUACGCGUGAAAUUUAUUUGCACUUUUCGAAUUGUAGGUAAACUAUCCAUUGUGCAUUUCUAAGAAGAAGAAACAGAGCAUUUCCAUGGCAUCCCCUAAAACCAUGAACAAAAAAAGCUCAUAACCCGGGGCUCACCGUGGACACAGGUUGCAUACUAUUAGUUCCCCAAUCAAAGAAGCUCCAAAGCCAGAGAGAUACAACAGGAAAGACCAAAACACGGAAAUAGAAAGACAAAAAACAAAGCUGCACCAGCCAGCCCACCUGCACGGCCUGCUACAAACAUCACGCACGCCAGCUGAAAAUCCCUGAACGAAACAAGCAGACACAAAUUCUAUAGUGCACGGAUCUCCACACAUGAAUGGACGAAUAACACAGUCGACUGAGAAGUUUAAUUUCUCAGGGGACUGUGAUUUAGCAAAUCCGCUUUUUUUUACAACCAAUUACGAUGCCUAACGCAUCAUAGCUUUAUUCUGUUCCCUGGGGAUUGGGGAAGACACGCAGAGAAGUUACACACAUCUACGGUCACUAGGCCUACUAGACGUUGGAGUGCAUGGUGUGGCCCAAUUACGCAGGAAAUGAACCUCAGGAUGACCUCCGGGUUCCGGCCCGCACGUCUCCGUAUCGUGAUGGUUGGGUCGAGGCGAGAGGUCUAGGACUGAACAGCCGAAUAUGAAGACAUCGCCGCGGAGCUCAUGGUGCAAUGGAAGCCAUAGCCCGUCGCUUUUCCUUUAUUUUUGCGGGUAAAAAAGGAUGUAUUAAUCAAAGCAACACAUUACAUUCUUCGAGAACCAAAUCCACCGCAGGCGGAGGACCGGAACCCAGCCAAAGACCGUCGCUUUUUCCGCUGUAAGAAGUACUUGUCCUAGCAAAUGCCCGUUGAGCCACGGAUCAAAGCUUUAAUUUAACAUGGGAGUGCCAAUAUCAUCGCUGCCAGCCCGCCACCACGGAACAGAAACUCGAUGGCCUCCUUAGCUGCUGGGUUGCAAACAAAGAUCUCCGUGCAUGACGAAGAUAUGGUCGGUCACUGCACCUCGUCCAUCAGCCUCUGUUAUGGUGUAACUGACACCUCCUCAGAUCUAAUUCGGUUAAUGGUGAUCUAUGGGGAUCGGCCGUUCACAUCACAUCGUCCAUCUUGCGGGGGGGAAACAGGCACCGAGGCACAAAUGGCGAUUGGCGGCCUUGCACAAGCAGCGGGAGAGGUCGAGGCAUACAUGAUUCCUGAUGGCGUUGGGCCAAGAGCCAGGACCGACAGACAUACUGAAACCGUGGCCGAGAUCCCACGCCGAGAUCCACCAGAACAUCCCAUGUCAGUGGCCAUCAGUUUUUUUUUUACGGGUGUUCCUGCAUUUUAUUAAGAAGAACAUAAUGGUUCCGUUUAUUUUGGAAAACCGAGCCAAAAACCACACAUCAGUUUAAAUUUGUGAAUUUGUGGCCCGGCCUUCUCAGAACCCAUCUGCUUACUCAUAUUUUCGUACUGUAAUAUUUUUUGAGUAAUAUUUUCGUACUAAUUGAUUCAAGUCCAGUAGGUCAUGGCCUCUGCAUCGACGACAUUACCUACUACAUAUACUUCUCCUUUUACAUCACCGAUGUAGGAGUACACUAUAUAGUAUUCUCCCGUUAUAUAAUUUUUGUUUCAAAUUUGUCCAAACAUGGAUGUAUCUAUUACUAAAAAUCGUGUAGAUACAUGUAAUAUUUUGACAAAAAUUAUGAAACGGGUGAGUACUUUUGUUCGAACCGCAGAGGUGGAGCAGCGUUGAAUUUGAACCAGCUAGUGCCCGGCACGCAUGCGGGGUUCUGGAGUUUGAUCAAAUCCUAGGGACCCCCAGGCUCGGGCAAAGUUUGGUUUCAAAAUCUUCCUAAGAAACACACUGUAAGGCUAGAUGGAUAGUGCCCACCCACGAAUUGCAAAAAGACUUGUGGUGGAAUGCCCACUCACGAGGCCACCUACUCUGUGAAUGGCCGGAGGUGCUCGAUGCUAUUGCUACUACCUCAUCUCCAUAUAAACCCUCCAAGUGCAAACCGACCGAGAGCAAGGCAUUGGCAACAGACGUUUCUUCACUUCGUCGCUGACCUUCUUGCCGUGUCACGAGGAGGCCGGAGACACGAGGUACGUACAUUCAUAAAUACUGUGUUAUGGAGAGCAAGAACAAUGUGCUGUUGGUAGUCGCUUGCCUCCUUCUCCUGGCAGCGGCGAUGAACGCCGGAGAAGGUUGGGCAGCCCGCGGCGAGAUGGCGGCGUGGCGGAGACUGGAGGAUACGUUGGAGCCGGAGCUGGACCAGGUCCGAGACCUUAUUUUGUCUGGUGGUUAUAUCCACCUGCCAAAUAAGUUUGAUCCAGAUCGGCCGGCGUGCGAUCCCGCCUGUGCGGCACCAGGACAACCCUACAGGCCUCACCCUAUUUACUGCAAAGACCACAACCCAGGGGCCAAGUGUAACUAGCUAGUAGCGACAGUACUGUACAUCCGUACAUGGAUCGGAUGCACAUGGGUUUGUUUAAAUACAGAGCAAUAAUCUAAGCUUUAAAAGAAGAGAAGGAUUGUGGAUUGGCUUGAGUUCUUCUCAGUCAUGCAUUCACAAAUGAAGUGUGCGUCGGUAUGUUUUGCUGGGAAACCUUGCUGGUGCCUUGGUGAGCACUUAUCUAAACCUAUGCCUAGAAUAUAAAUAGAGCCAAUCUACCGCUUGGAAGCACUGAUCAAUGUUUUGCUGGGAAACCUUUCUGGUGCCUUGGUGCUUUCUACUUUGUCAAUCAAUUACCGCAUAAACGCAAUAAUUCUUGCAGAGGAAUCUUUUACCGGACCAUAUGCGUGUGCUUAUUGCUGCCACUGCUGAACUGCUGAUUGCUCCUUCGUCGGUGAUCUGUACAUUGGGCAUGGCUGGCGCAACAUUUUUUUUUCUUUUGUUUGUUAAAAGAGAUCAGGAUAUUCUCCCGGUCGGUUUCUGCGUCUAUCAGUGCACACAACCAUAAUAUUAGUAAAGUCGCAAAUAGCAAAAAUAUAUCAAUUAUUACAACUCAAAAUGACAACAAAUGCCUGAUUUCUUGAUCAUCAUUUAAGAAAUAUGCCUCCAUCUCUUUGAUGCAGUGUUGGUCUUUCUAGUAAUCGGUCUGGCUCGUUUGGUAUUGCAAUCUGGCUUGCAUUUCACUUUCAGUUUUGAUGGAGUUGAAGUGACGAACCUGAUUAUCCAUUCCCAAUGUCAGACAUUGUUGGUUCAGAUCACAAAGAUCUGCAACGGAAGUUUUAUCGCCCGACAAUAUCUUGACAUGAACAGUAGCGAUUUCCUGCCUCGCCUCUCGCGAUUUCUACUGCUGGCAAUUUCCUGAAUUGCCUCGAUUCUGUUGCACAGCUACGACAGAAAGAAUCUCUACCACGGCAGACAGCUGAGCCGUCGCGGACCAGAGAAGCACUGCUGCUGCCGCGCCAGGAAAUUCUACUGACGCGGCAGAACAGACAAAAGAAGUCCAGUAAACUUCGGGGGAAGGCUUAGGCGAGCUACCGCCACGCCUGAGGUGUCGAUAUGUACGCGUACACAUCAUCUGUCUCUAGUAAUGCUUCCCCCCCUUCAGCCUCCGAAGAAAAUAAUCAGGAAAUAACCCAAGCCAGCUAAAAUGACCUCGUGUGCAACAAGUUCCAAGUGCCGGCUAAGUGUUGAGGAACCAACCACGUUUGAGGCAGCAACUGAGGAAGAAAGUUCGCGUGGCAAUGAAAGAAGAGUUGUAUUUGAUAGAAGACAACAGGACAUGGACUCUUUGUUGACCUGUCCCAUGGUCAGAAAGCAAACAAGCCCAGGUUAGAGGCUAAAGGAUAUGUUCAAGAGCAAGGUGUAGACUUUGGAGAAGUGUUUGCCCUAGUGGCGAGGAUGGAUUAAGUGAGGCUUUUGAUAGCUCUUGCGGCUCAGAAUAUGUAGAAAAUUGCAUCAUAUAUAUGGACGUGAAAUAUAAUAUGUUUAAUUUUUUGAAUGGAGAGUUAGAAGAGGAAGUAUAUGUGAAGCAACCUCCUGGGGGAAGAACACAAAGUGUUUACACUAUACAUAAAACAUUAUAUGGCUUGCAACAGGCACUCGGCUUAGGAACAUCAUGUUAGACCGAAUGUCGGGGGGCUGACCCCGGGUAGGAUCAUGACGACACGUAUUAGCCGGGAUAGCGAGAGCAACGCCGACGUAAGCAAGUAUGCCGGCAUUGUUAAGCCGACUUUAUAACAUCGGUAUGCCGGCAUCUCUAUAUUGUCUUAUGUGACUGCAGGAUAAGCACGAACUAUCUAAUCUCGGCUAGGGCCGGGAUAGGCCAACGAUCCUAUCUUGGUCGCAUGGCGCAAAGUAAAGCAGUGCUCCCUUUAUGACGGAAAAGCAGUCGUUGCUCACGUCGCUGUGCCGGACGACUGCACAGUGACGUGCCGUAGAAGGACAGGUGACGAAGGCCGGGGCGUGGCUACAAUGCGCGCCGUCUGGCUGUACGUAAAGCACAAAGCAACAUUGUCCCCUCCCGGACAAUCCGGAGGGGACCAUGGGCGUACCCGGCGGGCCCAGGAGUAACUAGGGUUUGCUUUCGGCCCACAUGUCAGUGUGACAUCUUUAGCCUAUAAAUAGAGGCUCCACCCCUCCUGUGAGAGGGGUUACUCUCUUAGCCAUUAGGAGUUGUCCUUCUUCUUCUUCCUCCUCUGGACACAGCUCAAGGAGCACCAUUGUAGCCUCUUGUAUCUCGACCAAUACAAACAAGGCAAGAGUAGGAGUUUUACCUCAUCUAGAGGGCUCCGAACAUGGGUAAACCACCAUGUGUUCUUACUUUCGUGCGUGGUUUACACUGCACCAUCCCUCCUCCGGAUCCUCCUUCAUCCAUCGGCCCCAUCUUAAGUCAUCCUAUGGCAUCUGCUGUGACACCACCACGACAGUUGGCACCCACCGUGGGGCCAGCAGCGGCGCUGGCUGGAGUUUUCAUCCGGACGGAAAGCUUCCUCGUCACCGGAGAGUGCGUUGUCUCUGGCUUGGUUUAGAGAUUCAGCUCUCUGGGCUUCAUCGACAACAACGUAGGCUGCUUCAACAACAUGCCACUUCCCUGCACAGGCCGCUUCAUCAACUUCGGUAUGCACGAGGUCUACGUUGCCACUGACACUCCUUGCAGGUAUCCCGAGCAGGUGGUGGUAGCCGAGGAUCCCCCGCCAUCUGCAUGGCUCACGGUCGGCAUGUCGACUGCCCCGCUAGCCGUGUGGAGGUCAUGAUGACGGCUCAAGGCGGUGAUGCUGGCAAGGGUGCUGCAGAAAGCGUCGGACUCCCGAGCAAGUCCAGGAGAACGGCGCGACCCCCAAUGGAGAAGCCGGAGAACAUCGUUGCUCAGGCCGGCACAUCUGCUGCGCCGGCAAAGCCGACUCCGCUCCAGGCCGCCAUCGAGAGGUUGACGUUGCCUGUGGCUCCAAAUGCUAACUCGGCCCAGCUUCAGGCUGAGCUGGAGUUGGAACGCCAGAAUCUACUGCAGGAAGCUGUCGACGUGGCUCGUGCUCGGCAGGAGCUCGAGAUUUCACUCAGUGAGUAUAACAAAGCUCAUGGUCUCAAUUCUACUGCAGUGCACAACCCUAGCCAAGUUGGGGAAGUGCGUAACCGUGGCAGAAAUUUGAACGCCGAGAUAGCUAGGGAAUAACCUCAGGGCAACCGAGGCUGCAGCAGAAGAGUUGCCAAAUCUCACGGGAGGCACUCCGACUGCAGCAGUUGCGUGUGAAGGAGUUGCUUCGCACGGCUAACAAGCAAAACGAGGCAUACAUGAGGUUGCACGGCAAGCCCGGUGCAUCUCAGAUCAUUCACUCAGCCGCAGGCGCUGGCGGCCGAGCCGACAAGCAAGCGUCUUCACCUGGCGGCAGACGGGAUAAGAGUGUCAACUCCGGCCGAGACAAGCGGCUGGAUGAUUAUGAUCCGGCAUUAGCUGGAAAGCAAAUGGUCGGGCGAGUUGAUGAUGGUCAAAGUGGUCUACAUCUCGGUGACAAUCGCCGAGAUCCACAACAGCGUCACUCGGCAGGUCAUGGACGCCAACCUCGGGGUCCGGCGCCCAAUACUGCUGCAGGUCAGCAGGUUUCUGGGCACAACCCCCUGCAUCGAGGUAAAGAUCGUCGGCAAGUCCGUUACAAUGACGGAUACUCGGCUAUGGGAGAUGAAGGCUAUCUCAGGUGGGAGCGUGACAAUGUCGGCCCACUCGGAGCCCGAGUGAGAAACCGGCAGGUGUCGCCGUUAGAUGCCCGACAUCGGUUCGACAGAAUCUAUUUGUCGGGACUUCUGGAAGAGCAAGACCCUCCGGGACCGUGUUGUUUCGCUCACCGGAUCAUGAGAGAGAUACCAACCCAGGGUUUCCCACUACCCAGGGGCACGAGAACGUAUGACGGCAGUGCGAAGCCGGAAGACUGGUUGGAGGAUUAUGUCACUGCAGUCCAUGUGGCAGGUGGCAAUCGCAGAUGGGCGGUACACUAUGUACCCCAAAUGCUAGUAGGGCCGGCGAGAAUUUGGUUGAAUAAUCUGGCAGAGAGCAGCAUCAAUUGCUGGAUAGAUUUUGAGGAAGCCUUUGUCAGUAACUUCACCAGCACUUACAAGAGGCCUAAUCGCCCUCAGCAACUGUCCAUGUGCAAGCAAAGGGACAAAGAGACUGACCGAGACCACCUGACAAGAUGGAAUAACCUCUGUAACUCCUGUGAAGGGAUAGUGUAGUCGCAGGUCAUAGCAUGGUUUGCUCAAGGAUGCCGACAUGGCAGCAUGUUGUGGCAGAUGCUGCAGAGGGAAUGCCGGUCACUUUGUCCGAGAUGAUCAAGAUUGCGGACAUGUAUGCGUUGGGUGACCCAACUCAGCCAUCGCUGAUGCCGGCAGAGCAACACAGAGAGCAGCCGACAUACAAUCCUGCCGGAGCAUUCCGGAGAAAUGAUCAUCAAGAUUACCGGAACAAAAGAAGGGAUGAUAGGCCGGAUUACCGGUAUGGGCCAGCCCAUGUGGCAGCCAUCCAAGAUCAACCUGAUGCCUGCGCUAGACAUGAUUUUUAUCACGGAGCAAACCGACAAGCAGAGCCAGCGUCGGCGUGAAGCAGCCCCUUCGACGCUUCGCUGAUGACAGAAGGAAAAUCAUAUCAGAAGAGAUAUCCCGGAUUCUAGCUAUCGGCUUUAUCAUGAAAGUGUUGCAUCCUGACUGGUUGGCCAACCCGGUCAUGGUCGAGAAGAAGAAAGAUGACCCAACUGCUGCUAAGGUGUGGCGCAUGUUUAUCGACUACACUAGCCUGAACAAGGCAUGCCCUAAAGAUCCUUUUCCGUUACCUUGGAUCGAUCAUGUGAUCGACUCCACUGUCGGGUGUGAGUUGUUGUCUUUUGUAGAUACGUACUCUGGUUUUCACCAGAUACCGUUGAAUCCUAAUGAUCAAAUAAAGACAUCAUUUAUCACCCCAUUUGGAGCUUAUUGCUAUCGUACUAUGCCGUUUGGUUUGAGAAAUGCAGGGGCCAUUUACCAAAGGUGCAUGCAGAAAUGCUUGCACGACCAACUCGGCAAAAACAUGCAGGUAUGUGUCGACGAUGUCGUCAUAAAAACCAAAAAUAGCAUCACGCUGCUGGAUGAUAUCCGAGAAACAUUUGCAAACUUGAGGAGAUUCCGAAUGAAGUUAAACCCGGCCAAGUGCACAUUCGGUGUGCCGGUAGGAAAGCUACUCGGAUUCCUUGUGUCAAGCCGAGGUAUAGAAACAAAUCAUGUGAAAAUUGCCGCCAUUGAGAGAAUGAAGCUGCCAAAAUGUCUCAAAGAUGUGCAAAAAUUCACUGGAUACUGAUCAUCAUUAAGUCGUUUCGUUAGUCGGCUGGGUGAAAAAGCAAUGCCCCUAUACCAGCUGAUGAAGAAAACCGACAAAUUUGUGUGGACACAACAAGCAGAGGUAGCCUUCCAAGAACUGAAGAAGAUGAUCGCUACGGCGCCGAUAUUAGCCUCGCCAAUGGCACAAGAGCCAAUGCUGUUGUAUAUAGUAGCAACAAACUAAGUUGUCAACGCCGUCAUAGUGGUGGAGAGAGAGGAAGAUGGCAAGUCGGUACAGAGGCCCGUAUAUUACUUGAGUGAGGUGUUGUCAUCAUCAAAAUAGAAUUAUCCUCAUUACCAGAAGAUGGCGUACCGUGUUUAUAUGGCGGCAAAGAAGCUGAAGCAUUAUUUUGAUGCACACCAGAUCAGGGUAAUAUGUGAAGCGCCUAUCUCGGAAAUCAUGAGCAACAAAGAUGCAAGCGGCCAAAUAGCUAAAUGUCCUAUUGAGUUAGCACCCUACACACUGCAGUACGACAGACGAGAUGCUGUGAAGUCUCAGGCGCUGGCAGAUUUCUUGGUGGAUUGGGCCGAGAUGGGAUAUGAACCACCACCACCUGAAACCACUUAUUGGAAAAUGCAUUUUGAUGGCUCCAAAAUGAAAAGUGGGCUUGGCACCGGCAUAGUUCUCACCUCGCCCAAGCUUGACCAGUUGAUGGCGCCAGUUGAGUAUGAGGCGCUUGUUCACGGACUGAAGAUGGCAAAAGAGAUCGGUGUUCGCCGGAUUCAGUGCUUUGGUGAUUCCGACUUGGUGAUCCAGCAAGCCUCUGGUAAUUGGGAAACAUUAGAUGCCAACAUGGCAUUAUAUCGCUUUCAUGUGCAGAAGAUCAGCGACCACUUUGAAGGGUGUGAAUUCUAUCAUAUACCACGGAUGCAGAACGAGGCUGCCGACACUUUGUCGAAGCUAGGAUCGACGCGGCAGGCCAUCCCGGCUGGCAUUGCGUUGGAACAUCUGCGCAAGCCGUCACCUGAAUCGGAAUCGAUAUUUAUUCCGGCAAACUCGGAAGCUGACGUCACUCCAAUGGAUAUUGACAGUGGCUCCGGCAACCCGGGGACUGAGCGUCCUAACUCGGCCGAAGCAAUGGCGAUUGAAUCAAUGGAGGUAGAUGAGCCAAUUUUCAUAACUCGCCCUGUGCCGGCUUGGGCACAACCGAUAAUGUCGUACCUCAAAGAUGGGAGUAUGCCGGAAGAGGAAGUGUCGGCAAGGCAAAUUCAGAGAAGAGCAAAAGCAUACACCAUUAUCAACGGUGAGCUACAUAAGAGAAGUGUCACUAAUGUGUUGGAACGUUGCGUUGAGCCAGAAGAAGGACAAGAAAUCCUCCGGGAUAUUCCAGGAGAGUGUUUUCAACAUGCAUCCUCAAGAACAUUGGUGGCCAAGGCAUUUCGGCAUGGGUUCUACUGGCUGAGUGCAUUACAGGAGGCGGAAGAUAUGGUCAGGAAGUGCAACGGUUGCCAGAGAUAUGCCAGCAAGAUUCAUAUGCCGGCAUCUGAGCUCAAGACUAUCCCAAUCACUUGGCCAUUUGUUGUUUGGUGUUUGGAUAUGGUGGGGCCCUUCAAGCGGGCACAAGGAGGCAUGACGCAUAUCUUGGUCAUGGUGGACGAGUUCACCAAAUGGAUUGAAGUGAAGCCAAUACGGAAAUUUGACGGCAAGACCACGGUGUCGUUUUUAAAAGGAUAUCAUCUUAAGAUAUGGCUACCCGCAUAGCAUCAUCACGGACAAUGGAACAAACUUCGCAGAUGGAGCUUUUGCGCGAUUCUGCACAUAGAUGAAAAUCCGGCUUGAUGUUGCCUCAAUAGCACAUCCUCCGUCCAACGGGCAAGUUGAGAAGGCAAACGGCAUGGUCUUAGCCGGUAUAAAACCUCGGUUAGUUGAGCCACUGGAACGCACUCCAGGAUCCAUGGGCUAUACGCCAUUCUUCCUCGUAUACGGGGCGGAAGUUGUAUUACCAGCCGAUAUCCAGCAUGAGUCUCCGUGAAGUAACCAUGUAUACGGAAGCCGAGGUAAAGGAAGCCCGAGAAAAUGAUGUCGACCUGCUCGAAGAAGCACGGGAAUUGGCCUUGUCCCGGUCAGCCAUUUAUCAACAACACCUUAGGCGUUAUCACAGCCGGAAGGUAAAUCCGCGGGUGUUCCAGGAAGGAGAUCUUGUGCUCCGGCUUACGCAGCACAUGGCCGGCAUGCGUAAAUUAUUACCUCCAUGGGAAGGACCUUUCAUUGUGAGCAAAGCGCUGCACAAUGAUUCGUACUAUCUUAUAGAUGCGGAGGACCCCAAUGCAAACAGGAUGGACAGAUCUGACGAGGAAACCAAGAGGCCAUGGAAUGUAGCUUUGCUUCGUCCGUUCUAUACUUGAGACAUGAGUAUUUGUAUCGCUUUUUCCUUAUGUCGAAUAUUUUGAAACAAUGAAUUAUCCGCCAAGUUCUUAAAAGAAACUCGGGGACUCCCAUGUUAUAUGAAUGUUGUGUUACAUUUAUCUAUUUUGUAUGUCAGCCUGGCUUGAUUGUGUAAUCUUAUGUCAGUCUAGUACUGUGUCGGUACUGAAAACUCUCUCUAUGACUUAGUUGUUGUCCGCAACCCGGCUUCAUGGCAAGCUGGAGCAUGAGUACGAAGUUAUAGAACACAUGAAAAGCUAUUGUCGAAAUAAGCAAACGAGCGAGCCGAGAUGUGUGUCAUUUUCUCUAACCCAACACUCUUUUUCUAUACUGGGCAUUUCCAGGCAAAUUUCAUGAGUUUGAGAUUUUUUGAAAGUUCUAUUCUAUGACUUCCUGAUUCAUACGUCGAACGCCGACAAGGCAGACAAAGAGCCGAGGUCAUAUAAUUGAACCAACAGAAAAAUAAACUCGGGGACUCCGCUGGGAACUCGAUAACUUGUGGCAUAAACUAAUUCAAACCAUUGUGCAUCACAAUAAGACUACUUCAAAGUGUUUACAUCUGCACCCGGCAUCCCGGGGAUCUAACAAUUUUAAAAGUUUUGCUGACAUCAAUGGGCUAGAGUUCAGGUUGCAGGAUCGUUGGUGCUGGUGCUCGGAGCAUCUGUCUCGGCGGGAGGUCACUCGGCGACAAUCUCUUCGUCCACGUCUUCUUCUUCUUCCUCGGCCGCCUCUUCGUCUGUGUCCGAUCUCAGACCCUCCACAAAGGAAUGCACAUCAGCAUAUUGGAUGAAGGAGUAGGCCCGCUCUUGAUGUUUUGCAAUCAACUCUAGAUCCGAGAGAAAGGGAGAGCCGGCACGCAUGCAUUGCAGCACGUCGAACUUAGUGCCGUCGUACCAAGAGAGUACGAACGAUAGUGCCCCGUCGGCGCCGACACGAGCGGCCGACUCCCGCCCCUCGCUAAGCCGGUCCUCCACCUCCAGCUGACGCUUGGCCAAGUCCGAGAUGGCACUUGGUGCGUCCUCUCCCGGCCAAAGAGCUCGGAAGA